rnacentral:lncRNA from 1 species
CUCUGCAAGCCUCUUAAUGGUGAUGGAAAGAAGAGGCAGGGAUGAAAAUUUGGCUUGCUGAUAGAGCCUACAACAUGCACUUUAUUAAGUUGCUGCUUUAGGAAAGGAAGCUUUUCCUUGAGCCCUGUAUGUCGCCAUUACAUUGCCAACACUAAAUUAUUUUUUUUCUUUUCAGUGUUCCACUUUCAUGCAUAUUUUCCUCCUUUCUGGGUGAUAGAGGAUUCAUAGGCCAUCUGGAUUCUGAAACAUCUGGACACUGAAUUUCUGCAGAGGAGAAUCAGAGGAAAGAGACGAUCAGUGGUACUGGGUGUCUCCGGAGAGAUUUAAAUCAACGAUGAUAUUUUGGUUGCUCCCUUUGGAACAUUAACACAAAAAGUGAAAGGAAAAAACAACACAUCACAGGAACCCAGUGUUCUAAGAACACCAAGAGUGUAUAAGAAGGUAGGACUUUUAAUAUGAAUUUAAGUCAAUAACUGGAUACAUCUCUAUAUGUGAUGUCAUUUCUAAAAUUUCCCCCUAUUUUUUCCAUUGUUAUGCAUUUUGGAUUUAAUGUAGUUAGAUAUACUUUUAACACUGCUGGGUGUAGAUGGCGCAUCCUUUGAACCCAUUUUACUUUAAGCCAUGUAUAAUUCAAUUCAAUAAACCCUUAUUUAUCAAGUUUUAUAUGUAAAGUCACAAAACUACCAUACUAAAAAUGCUGAGAUGUUCAGCUUGGUAGAGAGACUAGUCGUGAGCACCUCUUGGGUAAAUCAAGAAGAGUUACAUUUCUAAGAUACACAGAAGAAGAUUAGAACAAAGAGAUAAACAGUGUUUCCUAGGACAGUGGGAGCUGUAAACUUCUGGAACCAAAAAUCAAGAACCAAGGUGAUAAUAUAUGAAUGAGAUAGGGUCUCAGAUCUUUAGAACGUUCAAAUGGUCUCUUACAAGCUCAGCUUUAGGUAUGCAUGUGUAUACGUGUGUGUGUAAGGAUCUGCAACAGGCUUAGAGGCUGCUCUGGAAAUGCUCAGGGGACCACCUAUUCUAGGCCAUCAAUCUUGGUGUUAUACCAUACAUAACAUGAGUGCAUGGUUUCCAUACAGUCUAGCCAACCCCAAGCAAGUGUUUACCUAUCACCCUCAGGCUUUCCCCACUAAUGUAGCCGGGUCCACUCCCUUCCCUGAACUUGAGCUUCAGAACCAGAACAAGGGCCAGUUGCUCAGACUGCUCAGCGAAUCUCAGGAAGCAGCCCUUAGACCAGUAGUAAAGCUUCUCCUUUGUGCAAAGGCACUAGAUUCAGCUGUCAGGAAGUAUGCGGAGAUGUAUAGAUCCUGUGAUUUAUUCCCCACACUGUUAAAAAUUUUUUUUCUUCUACUAUAUUUUCUCUGGUAAAUAUGUGGGUUCUUAAUUGAUAGAUUUUCUUUGCUGAAAAAACUGAAAUUGCUACAAAGCACUCUUUAAAGGACAUGAGUUUGAAGCAACUAAUCUUCCACAACUUCAGGCAGAUUUCCUGAACUAUGUGAUGCUUUGCCAUACUUAAAAAAAAAAACCUGUUUUAAGACAUGCCAGUUUAAGUUGAUUUCUAGGAAUCCAGAACAGUUCAAAAGAAAAAGAAUUCAACAGCAAAAUUUUAGUAACUAUUUUUUUAAUUAGGCAUGUCUACAUUUAAAUACAAUAACUCUCUGAAAUAAGGGACUACAGACAUAUUCUCUGUUCUCUGCAAGUCCACUGUGCCCUCAAUUUCCUCUAACUGCAUCUUUGGUGAGCCCCACAAUGAAGUACAAUAUUAGAUGUUCACUUGUAUGAUAUCAACCUUGUAUGAAGAGGAUGAAUAAAAAAUGAAGUUCUUAGCUGUGAUCUAUUUCAGAUUAGCCAUUUUCAUUUAUAAAACUGUUUAUUUUACUUUGUCAGCUUGAAGGUCAAUCCAACUUCAAAUUGCACCUUGUAGAAUUUCAACAAAGAUAUGAGGCCCAUCUCUGCUUCCUUUAAGACUAAAGGGGGAAAGCUGAGUCUUAACACGGGUAUUAGGCAGAGCUUUAUGAAAUGGACCAGAUCAACACUGAUAGAAAACUCGCAAAGACACUCUACUUUGAAGUCAAAACAUCAGGGCCCGGACAAGGUGGCAGAUGGCAUCAGGAUUAACAAGCAUUAAUUGUGGACAUUAACCCACAGCAAGCUAUAAGCACAAGUUCAAAGGAACACUUGUCACGCACUAAGGGAGGAAUAAACCACAAAAAAUUAUAACAGCUAUCAUUUUACGUACAGUGUAUCAGGGACUAUUCUGUGCAUUUAAAAUUUUUUUUAAUGUUUACUUUUGAGAGAGAGAGAGAGAGAGAGAGAGAGAAUCCAAUGCAGAGAAUCCACGCUGUCAGUGCAGAGCCUACAUGGGGCUCGAACCCACAAACCCUGAGAUCAUGACCGAGCCAAAAUCAAGAGUCAGACGCUCAACGAACUGAGCCACCCAGGUGCCCCUAUUCUGUGCAUUUUUAAAAUUUUUUUAACAUUUAUUUAUUUUUGAGAGAGACACACACAGAGUAUGAGGGGGGUGGGCAGAGAGAGAGAGGGAGGAGACGCAGAAUGUGAAGCAGACUCCAGGCUCUGAGCUGUCAGCACAGAGCCGGAUGCAGGGCUUGAACCCACGAGCCGAGCCGUGAGAUCAUUACCUGAGCCAAAGCUAGACGCUUAACUGACUGAGUCACCCAAGCACCCCAUUCUGUGCAUUUUAGAACGAUCAUCUCACAUCUCCACACUAAGUCUUUCAGGUAGGUACUGCUGUUAUCCCAUUGUACAGAUGAUGAAGCUGAGGGACAUGUAGGUUAAGAACCUUGACCAAGAUCACACAAGCCAAGUACAUGAAGAAACAAGGACUCAAAAACCCAGGCAGAAAGACUCUGAUACUCGUAUUCUGAAUGAGAAUGGUAUGUGUAUAUGCAGUGUGAAGAACACUAUGAAGGACACAACCCAGUAUGCUCAGAUACUGAUGUACAUGAAAGCAGGCCCAGUCCCUCCUACAUAGUACCAUAAACUCUUACAUCAUCACACUUUACUAUAAUGAUGCAUUUCACGCCUGCCCCACAUGAUUGUAAGCUUCACUUAGAGACCAUGUCCGUUUUCUUCACAUUAUAAGGUCAGUGCCUAGCAUAUCACCUUGUCACACUGUAGCCGUUUGAUUAAUAUUUGUAGACUAAAUAUUCAAUAAUUAGAUCUAUUGAAUAUUUAUUGAAAUAUGAUUUCUUGUGAGUCACUGUCCCUUCCUUAAAGAGGCUAUAAAUAAGGCCACAGAAGGGUGCCUGUGUUGCUCAAUAGUUUAAGCAUCUGACUUCGGCUCAGGUCAUGAUCUCACAGUCCAAGGGUUCGAGCCCCGCAUCGGACUCUGUGCUGACAGCUCAGAGCCUGGAGCCUGCUUCGGAUUCUGUGUCUCCCUCUCUCUCUGCCCCUCCCCCUCCCAAAAGUAAAUAAACAUUAAAAAAAUUUUAAUAAGGCCACAGAGUCCAAUAAAAAGAACAUGAAAUUCAGACACAAAUAACUUAGGUUCUGAUCUGAACACCACAACAUCCGCAGUGCUGUGGUCUUGGACAAACCACUAAACCUCUGAAAUCUCAAUUUUAUCAUCUGACCAGGAAGCACAGUAAAAAUACGUUUCUUAAGCAAGUUUGGGGUGUCCUACAAACUAUCAUUAUGAUAACGACAGGUUCUUCUAUUUGGUGAUGAAAUAUCUAAAAAGCCAAAUAUUUUUUAUGGAUUCUGGAAACAGGAACACAGAACAGGAAGUCAUAAAUACCAAAUGCUCACUUCACUGAAAAGACCCUGUAUCCUCAAACUUAACCUGAAUAGGCCUGGCUGCUUUUCUUGUAAUAUAUCCCAUCUUGGAACUUGUGCUAUAGGAAACAGCAGCCUGGGUACGCCUCUGGGAUUAAAGCAUUUCUUAAGUGAUUCAGAUCAUCAGAACUUCUGCCCCUUAAAAUGGGCUGGCUUUUUAAAAAAAAGUUUUAAGUACCUUGAAUUCUUUAUCCAGAGCUUAACUCCCCAGAGGCAUGUUAGGGCUUUUACUCAAGUAGAUCUUCUCAAUAUUCCAACCAUUCUUCCUGAAGAUACUGCUUCCUCUUAGGUUGGCUUUUUUUGGGAAGCAGUCUUUUGUCUUCAGUAAGGAAAAUAGUUUUGCUUUUUGCUUACAUAUUUUCCUUUUCCGAAAGGACCAAGCUCAGAAACUACUGUGAGAUAAAAUCAUAGAUGCACUAUUUCAUAUGGCCUGAACCCAGAUUUAUUUUUUUCUUUGAUGGGAAUUUUAGCAAUGCCCAUAAAAUAUAUGGCUUUCUUAAAUCAGUCAGUCACAAAAAGGAAGUAUGCCUGUAUUUGGCAAGUGAAUUUAAAAGUGGAUCCUCAUGUUGUAAUAAUCCCUUUAAAUUUUUUUUAAUGUUUAUUUAUUUUGGAGAGAGAGAGACAGAGUGUGAGUGGGGGAGGACAGAGAGAGAGGAAGACACAGAAUCUGAAGCAGGCUCCAGGCUCUGAGCUGUCAGCACAGAGCCCAACACGGGGCUCGAACUCACAAACUGCUAGAUCAUGACCUGAGCCAAAGCCGGACACUUAACCGACUGAGCCACCCAGGUGCCCCUGUAAAAUCUCUUUAUAAAUGGAGUUAGUUAUUAAAGUAAUUUUACCACUUUAACCUUACUUACACCGGUUUUAGCCCCAGCUGAAAACCACAACUUUUAAAAUAUUCUUUAAAACCAAAUUCCACUAUAACAAAAACUAUGAAUAAGUCUGUUAUUAAGUAUAAUAAAAGCUGACAUAUUUUUUAUGAUUAUAAGCAUUACUAAUAUAAAAACAGAUUUUAAAAUUGCAAACACAUCUCAAAAAGUGACCUAUCCAGGGGUUCUUGACUGUGGUCCAUUCAUAAAAGUAAGAAAGUCUUUGAAUUUGGAUAAAAACAAAAAUUUCACUUUUAUUUCCAGGUCUGAUUAAAAUGUUACAUUUCCUUUCAUUACAGAUGUUAGGAACCAGCCACAAUAGUAUUAGUAGUACCUGUGAUUUUGUCACCAAUAAAAAACACAAACAUUUUCCAAUUAUAUUAUAGUUACUGCAAAUAUUUCAAAAUAUCAUUUUUAUCCAUUACUAGAGCAUGUUAACUAAUUGUUAAUAAAAAAGAACCGUAUUUCUAGAUCACAGCAUUUUAAUAUUUUCUAACUGCGUUUCCGUAUAAUUAGAUUCCUUUGUAACCCUAUAUAAUUUACUUCAUGCAUUUAAACACUUUGUUCUGAGAGGGAGUCCAUACACAGGCUUUACCAAACUGCCAAAGGGCUCUUUGGCACCAAAAGAAGUUAUGAACCCCAAUUUUAAAAGCCCCAUAUUUAAAUAAUUUAGUGUAUACUAUGGACUGAAUUGUGUCCCCCCAAAAUUCACAUGCUGAAACCCUAACCCCUAAUGUGACUGUAUUUGGAGAUGGGGCCUUUACGGAAGUAACUGAGGUUAAAUGAGGUCAUAAGAGUAGAGCCUUGGUUCAAUAACAUUAAUAUCCUUAUAACAAGAGAUACCAGGGCUCACUCCUUCUCCCUGCUAGUGAGGACACAGCAAGAUGGUAGCCAUCUGCAAACCAGAAAGAGAGCUCUUACCAGAACGUCUCAUGCUGGCAGCCUAACCUUGGACUUCCAGCCUAGAGAACUGUGAGAAAACAAAUUUCUGUCAAGCCACCCAAUCUGUAAUAUUUUGUCAUGGCAGCCUGAGCUGACUGAUACAGAGUAACAUUAGCUAUAUCCUUUUUGAAGGCUUCCUUACCACUUUCUGUGGUUGCAAACUUGGGUGUUACUGGGGGAAUUCACCGUACUCCAUCAAGAUGCAAGCCUCAGAGCCAUUUUUAAGGGAAAAGUCCUAGAAGUUAUUUAAAUAGAUAUCCUAAAAAGGAGCCAAUCUAUUAGACAAUAAUACAUAACAUUUUUAGAUACAGCUCUGAUUUGUCUCAGAAGUAAAUGGCAAUUGCUACAACCGCUAUCAGAUUCCAGAUUCUACUUCCAUUGGCAACAUUAUUUUCCCAAGUCCCCUGUGCUCCAACUCCCUUCUGAGACACUCCACUGCUCCUUGGCAGGCCCCCACCUGCCCCACAGGAAACCCCACAAUUCACCCAAUUAGGUGGCUGGAUGUCCCCACUGCAGGUGGCUAAUUGUGAAAAGGAUUUUUGUUAAGGACCCGUCUUCCUACAUCAGCACUACAACCAACUUCAGAAAACACACCAUACCAUUUCUGGUUAACCUUAAAACAAUCACGUGAAAAUAAAGAGGACUGUCAGUAGAGCAAUUUUAUAAAUAGCUAAAAUUAAACAGAGCAAGACUGGCAGUGCUAAUGCAUAAGCAAAGAACUGACUUCCUGCAUUUCAUUGAGAAUUCCUGAUAGCAAACUGCAGUAUGUUUAUUAUACAUUAAUUCAACACAGCAUUCAAAAUGAAUUUAUGCCCUGGCUGAAGGGUGCGAUAUUGAAACUAAAUAUUAUUUAUUAUCUUAAUAUUAGUAACCAUACUAAAAAAAAAUGUGUUAACAAUUCAGAGUGUUUAAAAAGCUAAGGAUACCAUAGCUCUACUUACCAACCAACAGCUCUUGCCUUAAUUUAUGCAAGUGUAGCCCUAUAGCUAAAAGCUUUGUAUAUUUGUUUCCCCAUGGUAUUAGUGCUCAAAAAUAGGACACUCUUUCAAGGGCACCUUAUAAACACAGAACUAUAAUUUAUUUGGCAAAUUAAAGCUCAUAUAAAAUGUGCACACAGAGGUACAGAUUAACAUAUUUAAUUUCAAUAUUACCUGCAAACCUAUUUUUUCCCAUACACUGUUCUAAUUAGUCAUAUAAAAUCGAGUCUGUGUAUUAUAAGCAAUUAUUUUAGUGGAAAUAGAACUGGAUCUGAAUUAAAUAUACUGUAAAAAGAUAACACUUUUAUGGAAAUUAAUAUAUCCAUUUGUAUCUAGAAAAAUGUGUUCUAGUUAAAUGGCAAGAGAAUGUUGAGCAUUCCAAACCUGAUUGCGAUAAAAGUUGAGUUUUUUUAUGAUUUAAUAAUACAGAAUAAUAUGCAAUCUUGGCAUUAUACCAAUAUUUAUAUUUUGAUGAUAUUUCCAAGUUUCCAAAUCCCCAGUAACCAUUAGAUUCAUUUUUGUAGUGGAAUUUUUCCUAUUAGCAAUAUUAACUCCCCCUACAGUUGAACAUGCAAAUUGUUUGCGAACAUUUUAUUUAGUAAUUGAGUCUUUUCCUAUUUAAGCCUGUCCUGGGAACUACAGUGUUGUAGGUACCAAGCUUCCAUUGCAUUAACAUAGUUGAAAAUAGACGUUAAUAAAGAAUUAUGCCUGCAGGUAAAUGGAAGCUAUAACUUUAGUGGCAGAGGCGUUAAGCUUUCUAAAAGUUGUCAUAAACGGACAUAAAGGCUUCACCACAUAAGGAGAUUUUUGAAAAGGACAAAUUAAAUUGAAGACACCUUGACCUAACACCGGGCAUGUGAGUGGAGAUGAUCUAAUGCUCCAGACUAUCAGCGGCUCAGAUAACCUCCCCAGAGAAAACUUCCCUAAACACCUGAUCUCAGAGGGCUCUCCUCUAGCCACACCCAUUACUUACCUCCCCAUCUGGUGUGUUACUUUCACAGGACAAAUCAAAGUUGUUCAUUUCCUUGUUUACUAUUUGUUUUCCCCAUUAAAAGAGACUCUGUAAGGAUAAAGGCCAAUCAAGCAUUUAGUGCUUCUCCUGGCACAAAGAGGAGCUUGAUUACCAUUUUUUGAAUGAAUGAAUGAAUGAAUGAGUGAAUGAAUGAAUGAACAAAUGAGUGAGCUAAUGAGAUAUUUCUUUAAAAUAUUUCUGUAAGAUUAUCUAGUAUUUGACUGUCAAGUAAUCUCAUAGUUCUUAAAAGGUCUUUAAGCUAUUCCCUUUGAUUCAGGAUUAGCUGCCCAUUGUAUUCACAAAAACAGGGGCUAGAAUUGUGUCCUUCCCCCUUUGAGUACCUUCCCAAGCAGAUGAGAAUCUGCCUUGCAAAUUUGCAAAUUACAAUGCAUCUUGUGUGAGGAGAACCCACAGAACUCCCUGAAUGAUACAUGAUUGUUUUUCAGCUACCCAUCCUGGCCCCAAGUAACUCUUCCUGCAAAAUGCCAAGUCCCUCUCCUGUCUCUCUAUGCUAACUAAGUCUCAUCACUCUCACCUCGUGAAUGGUUUCCUGGUUAGGGGCAGUUAAAACUAAGAAGUCCAACUAGCAAAGCACCCUAAGAUUCACCAUAGUCAACUAAUUUUGAACAUUGUCACCCUUUGGUCUGCCCAGCUUCUAAAGACUUUCAGAAAAGGCAAGCCCACAACAUUUAUUAUCAUGUGUUAUAAUGUCAAAACAUUCUUCCUCCGAUAUCCCUCAAUCCUUAGUAGAGGCUUUUCUUUUUCUUUUUGGAUUUUCAUUGUAGACAGACUAUAGCUUGUCACCACUCGUUAACCAUGCCCUGUUCUAACAUUACAGCAAAGGACAAACAGGUCUGGCCACCUGGUCUCUUCUGUAGCAUUCAUUAUUUUACAUGCCCAGUUCCAUUCUUCUUUCCAACUUAAAAAAAGGCUUCUGCAACUCUCAGUCUGGGUACACACCGCCAGCCAUACAAUACCUGGUUUCUAUGACUCCUCUCUAGCUUUUAUGAGGUUUUUACCUGUUUUUAAAAUAAAAUGACUGAAAAAUUAAAUAUUACUCACAAUCCCACCUUAUUUUGGUCUCAGUCAUUGUACCUCAAGAGCCUGUUUUGCAAUUCUGCCAUUCAUUCAUCCUGCUUUCUCCCCUUGUAUUUAAUACACAUUUUAAGCAGAAACUUCCAUUACCCUGUCCUUGAAGCCCUUCAUUAUUCACUUCUUUCCAGCUAAAAGAUCUUAAUUCAUUGCUUUAUAGUCUUUUUCUUCUUAGCAUUUUGAAUGGCUUCCCACUGUUCAUGAGUUCAAAAUCCUCACGUGGCCCCUUACGCAAUCUGGCUCCUACCUUCCCUUCAACUGCAUUUCACAUCACCCUCCCAUGGCACACCAUGUUCUUGCCCCACUUGCCCGUGCUCUGUUCAGUGUGCACCUGCCCCUGGCCGCCCCAGGUUGCCUGCUCAGACAAUUGCUCUGUCUUAGUUGGCUGACUCCUUCCUACUUCUCCUUCAGGUCUCCUUGAAAGCACCACUUUCUGGGGCAUCUGGGUGGCUAGUCGGUUGAGUGUUCGACUCGGGUCACGAUCCCAGGGUGGUGGGAUCAAGCUCUCACUUUGGGCUUGACACUGAGCCCCUGCUUAGGAUUCUCUCUCUCUCUCCCUCUGCCCCCCUCCCCCACUGGUACUUGUGCUCUCUGAAUGAAUGAAUGAAUGAAUGAAUGAAUUAGUGCCACUUUCUGUGGGAGGCUCACCCUGAGCUGACCGUCUUCCACCAGAGCCCCAUGAGGUUUUCCUUCAUAGAACUUUCUUAUUAUUGCAAUUAUAUCUUUAGCUCAUUAAGUAUGUGUUUAAUGCCUGAAGCAUGAAGACAGCCCUGGUCCUCUUGUCUCUCUCCAGCCUCACAGCUUUGGCAGUCUCAUCCACCUCAGGGUUUUAAACACCAUCACCAUACUGACAAUUCCCAAAACCAGAUGCAGGCAUACACCCUCUUCAGAGUCCUUUCCCAAACUCCGGACUCUCGAAUCUAAUUUCCUACUUGGCAGUUGGCCUACAUAUACUUAAAGACAGUAUCAAACUUCACACAUCUACCUCUGAAUUCCAGCCUUCCGCCGAAAACCUGUUCUACCUGCAGCCUUCCCCCAUACCCAUUGAUGGCAACUCCACCCUUCCAGGCGCUCAGGUCAGAGAACCUUGGAGUCCUUCUUCACAUGCCCUUCUCUUUUACCUUCAUCCAAUCUCGGGAAAUCCUGUCAGCUAUUCCUUCAAAAUAUGUUCAAAUUGUAUCCAUUUCUCACUACUUCCCCAGGACCUUCCUGGGUCUGAGCCACCUCACCACUCUCCUGAAUUAGUGUGUGAGCCUCCUGGCUGGUCUGCCUGAGAACCUUGUCAUCCACACUCUGUUUCAACACAACAGCUGCGUGGAACUUCUAAAAUUCACGUGAGAUUGUGUCACUCUGUUGCUCAAACUCUUGCAAUAGCUCCCUACUUCCCUUUAAGGAAGAACCAAAGACAUUACAGUGGUCUGUAUUGUCUGUCUGACUUCAUUUCUUCAUUACUCUGCUUCAACCACACGAGCCAUUUUGCAUUUCCUCAGAGGGACAGGCACAUUCCUCCUAAGGAUCUGACUGGGCUCUCAUCUGGGAAUGCCCUUCACCCAGAUAUCCCCAUGGAUAAGCCCUCACGUCCUUCCAAAUUUAUUUUUCUUCUUCUAUACUAAUUAUCACCCUCUAACAUCCUAUUUAAUCUACUUGUUUUUUUACAUCUGUUAUUUUUUAUCAACAAGAGUAUCAAACAAGGGUUUUGGUUCUGAAGUCACGGGCUUUGUUGACUGAUACAUCGCAAGCAGCUGAAACACAGUAGGUUCUCAACUGUUUGUGAGAUGAAUAGAGAGGAACUUCCUAUACAAACUGGACUUACACGUGUUUCAAGGAUAAGAGAAACAGUGUGUGAGAGAGUGCUUUGUGGGCCCAGUCCUCUUUGAUGAAGACCUCAAUCUUUAUUCCUUCUACAGAAGUCUGCACCGUUGUCAAUGGUAUAUUUUUUCCCACAUAAUCUAUUUACAUAUACCUGUAACAAAUACACUAUUGUUUCAUGUGAGUUUUUAAAUAAUGAACAGCAUCAUACAACUGAAAAACAAAAACCCUUUGCAACAAGUAAGGUUCUAAGUGUGUGUGAGAUUAUUGUUAUUUGGGGGUGGGGAAUAAGGGACUCUCAAAACAAGUGAUGAAAUACAGAUUUUUGCAGUAACCCUGUACCUUAACUCCAGCAUGACCCUUGAAUAUCCCUCUUCUGAAAAUGGAGUGCCCUAUGAAAAUAGAAAUAAAUGCAAUUUCCUUAAGGUUAAGGCAAAGAUUGAGGAAAAUAAAAUUCACUUUUCUAAGAGAUGGUCUAUUUGGUUUGUUAUUCUCUGUGUGUUCUAAAGGAUUCUGGUGGGAUUUAUAUUCAAUUUCUGAAAAAAGUGCCGAGAGUUCUGGACUUAAACACAUCACAAAAGAUAUUUUCUCAGUUUUCUAAACAUUUGAUGCUUAAGUCUACUUCUAAUUCCUGACCUCAAAGUUGAUGUAACUUAUAAUUUACAUAAUAUAAAUUAUAUACAAUAUAUAUAAUUAUAAUCUAGCAUUUACUUGUGUCCGGAACAUUUGACUAUUUUUAGACUAACUUACUGCAUUAUUCAUCUUUAUUAUCCACAUAUAAUAAUCAGAUAACACUACCUUCAAUGGUCUCUUGAAUGAAAACCAUUAAUUGGUUCCUUUGAACUGCUUUUCCCCUACUGAAAGCUACUUAUUUACCUUAAAAGUAGAUUAUGCCACUUUCUCUUUUAAAGACCUUCUCCCAUUAUUAGUUUUUGUAACUUUGCCAAUUUUUGUAUAAUUUUUGCGGUCUCCGUCAAUAUUUUUAAAUUAAUUAUGAUUUCUAAACAAGUUAAAAUAGGCCUAGAAUAGGUUCAUUGUCGUUUAACCCAAUAAAUCUAGCAAGUAAAAUUGAAAGCCGGAGUCAAUGAAGCCACGUCGGGGUAUCAUUGCCAAUUUAGCUAUCAAAAGUAAUCCAUGAUGAUAGAGUUUAUUACAAAGUACAUUUAACACAUUAAUUAUUAAUCUACAGUGCAAAGCUUUUAACAAAAGUCUGUCCUUGAUUGCUUUGUUUUCCCAAGUAGUUAGAGUCUACAGUUUUGUAAUCUAAGACUAGUAUUUGGCGCCUUGAUCAAAUUCCCAAAGUUCUGUAAUGUCUCUUUUUAUUGCCAGUAAAUCCAGAUGGAAGUGGCUUUUAGUGUUGUGAUUGAGUGUGCGUUUAUUAAUGUUAUCUAUUAAGCACACACUGCACAUUGCCCAUGUAAGAACUUUCAGAAUCAUACUUGAUAAAUGUAUUAAGCAAGUCCAAAAGGUUUCAGAACAAAAUGAAGACUUUAGUAUGUAAAUUAAAACACUUUGUUGGCACUUAAAAAGCAUCUUGGACAUAAAGUUCUGACUCAUUAAUUAUAUAUUAGAGCAAAGCCUCUCAUCAAUAAAGUUUUUUAAACUAUAGGCACAAGUUCCCAAAAUGGACUUUAGCUGAAAUUCAAGGAGAAGGAGAGAAAGGAAGCCAAUCAGAAAAAUAGUAGCUCCUCACAGGGGAGGAAGGUUGGGAGGUCAGGGGACAGAUGUAAACUGAGCUGUGGGCAUCAUCUACUAUUUUGGAACAUUUCUGCGUGAAAAGACUAACAGAGAAUUGAUAGCGUCAACUCCCACAGAGUUGUCAAAAAAAUAACUUUUGCAGAGGCAGGUAUAUAUUCUCCAACUGUUGAUCCUUCCAUUAAAGACCCAGAAAAAGUCUCCCUGUUCCCACUUCCAAAACUUAACACAGAUUUUUUUAAAAAAGGAAAUCAUCAGUAGAUGGAGUAUUUAAAAUGUUUUACAUCCUCCAACCUUUCCUAAUAUUCUUUCCUUGAAUAAUUUUCCUUUAAAAAUCAAGUUGUUGGGGCACCUGGGUGGCUCAGUCAGGUAAGCAUCUGACUCUUGAUUUUGGCUCAGGUCAUGAUCUCACAGUCAUGAGAUCGAGCCCCACAUCAAGCUUCAUGCUGGGCGUGGAGCCUGCUUAAGAUUCUCUCUCUCCCUCUCUCUCUUUCUGCCUCUCUUUCUCUCAAAAAUAAAAAUAAAAUUAAAAUCGAGUUGUUCACUUAAAAAAACUAAAAAAAGAUACAGGUCAUUAUUGUUGCUGAGGUCCCAGAACAGAGGCCCGAGAUGUGCAUUUGUUGCAAAAUCAAACCCAUCUGGGGCUCUGUCUGAUAGGCAGUGGGACUGGAGAUCACCUCCCUCACCCCUUCAUCCCCCAGCGUGUAGAUGAGCUCAGAGGAGAACAGGACAGUGUAGGUGGAAGGUCAAGGAGGCACAGGGGUCAAGCUAAGUUCCAGCCUUAGGGCAGGGGCUAGAAAAGAGUGUGGCUUUAGAACAACACAGUGAAGAGCAACAGGAUGGUCCUCAACCUGCACCCCAUCCUUUCCCCUUGGGUCAAAGCCAAAAUCACAGAUAGAAGAAUCUUGUAUGUGAAAAGCAAUAUAGAACAAAGCCCUGUAUCACUCAGGUCUCUGUAAGCAUACAGCACACAUACCGAAUGUGCUUGGUGGCCUAACACCAGGGCUGACACAGGUGAGAAGAAGGUAUGCCUCCACGCUGACAGGGGCCAAGGAUCCCCAGCUGGGAGCAGUAAGAGAUCAUGUCGUAACAUUGGAGUGCAGGAGAUGCUCUUUCUUUACCUCUACCCCCGCCCAAAGACUUCCUGCAGUAAUCAGAAAGGAUUUGGGUCAGGAGGUAGAGAUUAAACCAAAAUUUACUUUUUGACUCCUCUUGGGACCCUAUCACACAGACUUGACUGUGACACCAUCUCUCCUUCCCCUGUGGAACCUGUCACGGCCUUGAACACCACCUAAGUGAGCGUUCAAAUCGAAAUGUGGAGUCCAAACAGAAUCCCCAUAGUCAAACCAACUAGCUCCCUCCAGAAAUUCCGUGCUCAGACAGUGAGAAAAAGGCAGGUGAAUGCACUUCUUACCUGCCUCUGUGAAGCAUUGCUGAGCUUGGCACCUACAGCAAGUCAUUUGCUUACAGUACACUUAUAGUAAAAGGUUGGGGUGACCAGUUGUUACAUCUCUCCCCAUCCUCUGCCGCUCAGUGUUUGAGUCUUUGCUACUAAUUGACAGUUUCUAGGUGAGGGAUCAUUCAUGUAAAAGAGUAAAGAUUUGUUACUUUACUUGCACUUUGUCAGCAGAACUCACUGCCAAAGUUUUAGGUCAGAAGAGCUCUGGGCAGCUGGAGGUGACCGCUCCAGCCAUCCCAGGAGUACAACUGGGGCCUCUUUUUAUUAUUAUUAUUAUUAUUGUAAAAGAGCACAGGAUAUGACAGUUGAACCAGUGCAUCACCACAAAGUGCAAGUGGAGUGACAGACAGAGUGACAGACAAAUUAAAGAGUAAGUUCUGUCUAGCAAUUUUGGGUGACAGCACUUAAAAUUUUUAGCUCUAGGAUUGUUUAGGAAUGACAGUAUGCAGCUGAGAAAGGCAGCCUACCCACUAUAAAAAGGAAUUUGUGUGCGAACUUAGAAAACGCAGCCCUCCAAACUGAAGAAAAAAAAAAAGUCUUUACGUAUGUUUUUAAAUAGUAACCCAUUAACCUUUUACACAGUCUUCAAAUCAUCUAAGGCCACAUGUCCUCAUUAGCCCAAUGUUUGGAUCAAGGCUUUCAGACAGAUUUUGUUUCACCACCCCUGUAGAAACCCCUAGAAAACGGAUUUCGCAUACAUGCGUUGUUGUCAUUGUUCUGACCAAUGAAUGGACUGUGCUAUCACAAACAUCAGCUUCUGACCAGAAAAAGGCAUCAUGGUAAAACGUCUUCUUGGUAAGGCGUUCACUGCACGAGAUGACAAAUCACACCAAAAUUUGCAAUGAUCUCCUUGGGAGUAGUACUAAAUAGGGAUAAGUACUCGUCACUCACUGAGUACUUACCAUCCACGGGAAAACUGUGCUAAGUACUUUGUACUCAUCCAUCUCUGACAUAUCUAAUGGACACUUAAGAAGUGUAUGUUGGCGAGGGGCGCCUGGGUGGCUCAGUUGGCUGAGCAUCUGAUUUCAGCUCAGGUCAUGAUCUCACUGUUUGUGGGUUCCAGCCCCACGUCAGGCUCUUUGCUGACAGCUCGGAGCCUGGAAGCCUGCUUCAGAUUCUGUGUCUCCCUCUCUCUCUGCCCCUCCCCCACUCACACUCUGUCUCUUUCAAAGAUAAAUAAACAUUAAAAAAAAAAUUUAAGAAGUGUGUGUUGGCGUGUUGGCAGGAACGAGGAAAGGAAGAGAGUUUUGGUGUAAUUUAAAACUUUUGGGGCGCCUGGGUGGCGCAGUCGGUUAAGCGUCCGACUUCAGCCAGGUCACGAUCUCGCGGUCUGUGAGUUCGAGCCCCGCGUCGGGCUCUGGGCUGAUGGCUCAGAGCCUGGAGCCUGUUUCCGAUUCUGUGUCUCCCUCUCUCUGCCCCUCCCCCGUUCAUGCUCUGUCUCUCUCUGUCCCAAAAAUAAAUAAACGUUGAAAAAAAAAAAAAAACUUUUACUGAGCAUUUACUCUUUUGUCAGUCAUUUUAAGAACCCGAAAAGCAAGCUGUUAAGCAGACAGCAUUAUUCCUUUUUUUCCACUGGAAUUUAUUGAAGCAGGUCCCACACCCAGCCAGAAACAUGCCUAAAUUGCCUUUUGAAUAUUUGCACUUGUGGCCUUCAAUCACAGGUAACCCGGCUGCCGACAACUAAGACUAAUAUCUCAGAAGUUAAAGGAAAUGACCCCAACUUUUCCUCACUUCACAGAAACUCUGAAACGGCUCCAGAUACCAUGAGCUCCUUACUUCUCCUUUGCUUUUUUCACUCUGAGGAUUUGAAGGCAAGCAGCACCCACCCCACCACCCAGGUGUGAACAACAGGAGAUUACUCAUAGAUGGUAUAAACAGAAGGUGAGUGCAAAGGUCCAGGCCGGGCCUCAGUUGUCAUCUAAACAGACACAUCAGCUACAAAGCUUGUCCAAACAUUCAUCACAAACAGGUUUCAGAACGCUUUAUAUGGAUCAGAGCCAGGUUUUUACCUUGUCGGUAUCCCAGAAAGAUGACCUAUCUCAGUGCAAUGAACUUUCAAAUAACAAUAAAAAUUAUUUGAUUAGAAGAAAGAACGGGGCGGGAGGGUGAGCCUCCUGUGACUCACACAGAGCCUGAGGAAGGUGGGAAGAGCUGGCCCCCUACAGAAUCCAUACCACACUGCAGAUUGAAUUCAACAAGCUAUUCAGGAUGAUUUUGUGACUAAGCAUGAAAUUGAAAUUACACCGUCUCCUGGGUCAGAGUGUUGUAAACACUUUUUCCUUCAUUAUUUCAGAAUUUUUUUUUAAUACUGGUGCUUUGUUAGAGCUCACAAAAUAACUAGUUUGUAAACUACAAGAAGAAAUGUAUGUCUUCUUAUUUCCAUUGUGUUGGAAGGACUUGGUAAGGAAUGUUAUUGUUAACUAUCACUUACCAUGUUGUCACUAUUAUUAUUAAUUAUUAUUACCAACCUAAAGCUCGUCCUCCACAACCACACACUUUGCACCUGCAAAACAAUAUAGACAAACAGCGAUUCAAAUAUAAUUUGUGUUUCUUCCUUUGUUGCCAACCCAGUCUGAUUCCAAAUGGUUUCUUUUUUUUUUAAUAUGAAAUUUAUUGUCAAAUUGGUUUCCAUAUAGCACCCAGUGAUCAUCCCAACAGGUGCCCUCCUAAAUGCCCAUCACCCACUUUCCCCUCCCUCUCCCUGCCCAUCAACCCUCAGUUUAUUCUCAGUUGUUUUUUUUUUAAUUUUUUUUUCAACGUUUAUUUAUUUUUGGGACAGAGAGAGACAGAGCAUGAACGGGGGAGGGGCAGAGAGAGAGGGAGACACAGAAUCAGAAACAGGCUCCAGGCUCUGAGCCAUCAGCCCAGAGCCUGACACGGGGCUCGAACUCACGGACCGCGAGAUCGUGACCUGGCUGAAGUCGGACGCUUAACCGACUGUGCCACCCAGGCGCCCCUAUUCUCAGUUUUUAAGAGUCUCUUAUGGUUUGCCUCCCUCCCUCUCUAACUUUUUUCCCCUUGCCCUCCCNAAAAAAAAAAUUAAAAAAAAAAAAGAAAAAAGAAGUUUAAAUUUAAACUUCUAGUUUAUCAUUUAAAAUCAUUUAAAAUCCUACAUAUCUAUAUGUAAAAAGCAUAGGCCAAAAAAUCCAUUUUUUUAAUAUGAAAUUUAUUGUCAAAUUGGUUUCCAUAUAGCACCCAGUGAUCAUCCCAACAGGUGCCCUCCUAAAUGCCCAUCACCCACUUUCCCCUCCCUCUCCCUGCCCAUCAACCCUCAGUUUAUUCUCAGUUGUUUUUUUUUUAAUUUUUUUUUCAACGUUUAUUUAUUUUUGGGACAGAGAGAGACAGAGCAUGAACGGGGGAGGGGCAGAGAGAGAGGGAGACACAGAAUCGGAAACAGGCUCCAGGCUCUGAGCCAUCAGCCCAGAGCCUGACACGGGGCUCGAACUCACGGACCGCGAGAUCGUGACCUGGCUGAAGUCGGACGCUUAACCGACUGUGCCACCCAGGCGCCCCUAUUCUCAGUUUUUAAGAGUCUCUUAUGGUUUGCCUCCCUCCCUCUCUAACUUUUUUCCCCUUGCCCUCCCCCAUGGUCUUCUGUUAAGUUUCUCAGGAUCCACAUAAGAGUGAAAACAUAUGGUAUCUGUCUUUCUCUGUAUGGCUUAUUUCACUUAGCAUAACACUCUCCAGUUCCAUCCACGUUGCUACAAAAGGCCAGAUUUCAUUCUUUCUCAUUGCUAAGUAGUAUUCCACUGUAUAUAUAAACCACAACUUCUUUAUCCAUUCAUCAGUUGAUGGACAUGUAGGCUCUUUCCAUAAUUUGGCUAUUGUUGAAAGUGCUGCUAUAAACACUAGGGUACAAGUGCCCCUAUGCAUCAGCACUCCUGUAGCCCUUGGGUAAAUUCCAACUGGUUUCUAUUCACCUCCUGACUCAUAGCCCAGACUUUCAUUUGCUGCUGAUUCCUAUCCUUUCAGGCUUGAUAUUAAAGGGGGGGAGGGGGAGGGUGAAACAUAAUUCUCUUAAAAAAUGCAUUUAAAACGUAUUUAAUACUUAUUCAAACGUUAAUUUUAAAACCCUGUGAAAAUUAUGGCUAGAGAUAAACUUUCUUAACCUGAGUAAUGACAUCAUUGUAAAGCUAGAGCAAUCAUAAUAUUUAAUGAUAAAAUUAUAGAUAACUCCCAUUUAAAUCACAAACAAAACAAGAUGCCCACCAUCCUAUUAUCACUGCUUCUAUACAAUAUUAUCAUGGGUGUUUUACAAUAAUAAGGUAAGAAGGUAAAAUAAAAUGUAUAAAAAUUAGGAAAGAUAAAACUGCUGUUUCCAUCCAACAUGACUAUCUAUAGAGUAUAUUCAAAAUUAUCUACAAACUUUUUAAACCAGUAACAGAGUUCAGCAAAGUGAUCAGACAGAUAAAAGUAAUUUAACCAGCUAACACAUAUUAUAUUCUUAUUGUGGGCCAAACACAGUUCUAGGUACUUUCCAUAUAUUAUUAACUAAUCCAUUAACUAAUCUAAUACAACAGCCCUCUGACAAUAAUACAAUUACUAUUUCCAAAGAAAACUGAUGUACAGAAAGAUUAAGGAACUUACUGUUAGAGGUUGAAUUGUGUUCCCCAGAAGACACGGUGAAGCCCUAACCCCUGGUACUUGUGAAUAUGACCCUAUUGAAAAUCAGAUCUUUGCAGAUGUAAUCGAUUUAAGAUGAUACCGUUAGGGUGGGUUCUAAUCCAACAUGAUUGAUGCCCUUUUAAGAAAAGGGAAUUGGGGCACAGACACGCACAGGGAGAUCAUUAUGUGACAACAAAGUCAGAGAGUGGAGGCAUGCAGUUGCAAACCAAGGAAUGCCAAAGAUGAUUCGCAACCAUCAGAAGCUAGGAAGAGGAAAGGAAGGAGUCCCCUGCAGUUUUCAGGGGGAACGUGACCCUGCCAACAGUUUGAUUUCAGACUUUUAGCCUCCAGAACUGUGAGAUAAUAAAUUUCUGUUGUUCUGAGCCACACAGAUUGUGGUACUUUGUUAGGGCUGCCCUACCAACCUAAUAAACUUGCCAAGAAUCACACAACUAGUAAAAUGACAAAGCUGGGACAUAAGAUCAGCAUACCAAAAUCAAUACACUCAACACCAGUAAAAACAAGUUAGAAAAUGUAAUGUAAAAACAGAUACUAUUUACAAUUACAUAAAAUACAAGGUGCCUUAAAAUAAAUAUAAUAAAAAAUGUUUAGGCUACAGUCGAUUCUCAUUAUUCAUGGUAAUUAUGUUCUAUAAAGUUGCCACAUACACUAAAGUAGCAAAUACUGAACCAUUGCUCCUAGGGGAAAUACAGGGAAGGGUUCCUGCAAGUUUCUGGUCACAUUUUCACUGACUGAUCAAUAUAUAACUUUGUUUCAUGUGUGUUUCUGUUUUAAAAGACCUUGGUUACUAUAUAUUGUUGAUUCAUUAACACUAAACUCACAGCCAACAGCACUAUAACUCAUCCCUGAACAAAGCUUACAUAACACAUGUAUUUUCUCUGAAAGGCACAUCCCAGCCUUCUUGCCCUUAGGAGCACUAGAUAACACUUCAGCACUAUGCUUGAGGGGGAUUUUAAACAGUUAAAUCACUGGAAAAGGGCAGAACAAUAUGAAAAAUAUGGCACUAAAUAAACUGCAGAAAGGACACUCAUGUUUACUAUAUGAGAACUAAAACAAGAAAACAAAACAUUGCUUUGCUGGAACUCAGCUGGGAACAUGGGUGUAUGUUAGUCAACUCAAAUUUUUUGCUACUCUGCACGUGUUUGCCAAUGACCGUGAAUGCACGGUGAGUAUUGAUGUGGGAGAUCACAAAUAAAUUUUAGGAAGUAGACAAAUUCACAAAUAUGAAAUCCACAAAUAAUGAGGACCAACUGUAUUUAUGGAUAAAAUUAUAAAACCUUAUAAGGGGACCAAAGGAAAAAAAAAAAGACCUAAGUAAAUGGAGAUAGAAUAUGGUCAUGAAUAGGGAGACUCAGAAUUAUAAAGAUAUUAAUUUUACUACAAAUUAAUUCCAUCAAAAUCCCAAGGAGUAUUUUUUUUUUUAAUUUUUUUUUCAACGUUUUUUAUUUUGGGGACAGAGAGAGACAGAGCAUGAACGGGGGAGAGGCAGAGAGAGAGGGAGACACAGAAUCGGAAACAGGCUCCAGGCUCCGAGCCAUCAGCCCAGAGCCCGACGCGGGGCUCGAACUCACGGACCGCGAGAUCGUGACCUGGCUGAUGUCGGACGCUUAACCGACUGCGCCACCCAGACGCCCCAUCAAGGAGUAUUUUUAAAGAACAUGACAAGCUGAUCCUAAAAUUCAAAGAGAAAAGGAAAGAACCAAGAAUCACUAACAUAAUUUUGAAAACUAAGGUGUAGAGACUUAUUCUAUAAUAUAUUAGAAUAGUUAUAUUAAUUAAGAUAUACAGGUCUAGACAGAUAGAACAGGAGAGCAGAAAAAAGAGACCAGAACCGACAAACACUUACAUAGAAAUGUUGUUUGUGUCUGAGAUGGUAUUACAAAUCAAUGAAGAAGGAUUAAUUAUUCAGAAAACAUGAUCAAGACCAAUAAGUUAUCCAAGUAGGAAAAAAGAUAGCUUCCUACUUUACAUCAUAUCAAAAAUGAAUUGGAAAAAAAAAUGAAAGAUCCAAAUGUAAAAAGUAAAUAGUCAAAACAUUUGGAGGGGCGCCUGGGUGACUCAGUCAGUUAAAUGUCAACUCUUGAUUUUCAGUUCAGGUCAUGAUCUCACAAUAGUAAGUUGAGCCCACAGCAGGCUCCUUGCUAGGUAUGGAGCCUGCUUAAGAUUCUCUCUCUCCCUCUGCCCCUCUCCCACUCACGGGCAUUCUCAUUCUCUCCCUCCCUCUCUCUCACUUUCUCUCUGCCUCUCUCAAUAAAUAAAUAAUGAAUAAGUAAAUAAUCAAUCAUUGGGGAAAAAAUAGAGAAGAUAAUUAAUGAUUUCCAGGAAGGAACAGAUCCAUUUAGUAGGACAGAAAAAAGCACAAACCAUAAAGGAAAAGAUAAAUAAAUUUGACAUUAAAUUUUUAAAACUUCUGUUCAAAAAAAGACACCAAAGUUAAAAUGCAAUCUAUGAAGCUGAGAGAAAGUAUUUGCAAUGCACAUAAUGAAUAAAAAGUUAAUAUGCAAGAUUUGUAUACAAAUCCUAUAAAUGAAUAGGAAAAGGACAAAAAUCGAUUAGAGAAAUAGACAAAGAACAUGAAUGUACAAAAAAUACUCAACAGCAUUAGUAAUCAAAGAAAUGCAAAACUUAUUUUUUUUUAUUUUUUUAAUGUUUAUUUUUGAGACAGAGCAUGAGCGGGGAAGGGGCAGAGAGAGGGAGACACAGAAUCCAAAGCAGGCUCCAGGCUCCGAGCUGUCAGCACAGAGCCUGAUGAGGGGCUCGAACUCACGGAUCAUGAGAUCAUGACCUGAGCCAAAAUCAAGAGUCGGACUCUAAACUGACUGAGCUACCAAAGUGCCCCAAAAUGCAAAACUUUUAAAAUUGCAUUUCAUACUCAUUAGAUUGCCAAAAAUUAUCAUACUUCCUAGUCUGAUAAUCCCACACUUUGGUAAGAAUUUGAAGGAACAAGAACUUCCAACAAUUCUGAUGGAAACUGAAUUGUAAGAAACACAUUAAAAAAAAAAAAACAAUUUGUCAAUACCUACUAAAGUCAAAGUUGUGUGCAUCCUUAUACUCUGCAAUUCAUCCUCCAGGUAGAACCUUGGAGACACUUCUUCACGUGUGCAUAAGAUGACAUGUACAAGAACGUGCAGUAGAGCAUGAUCUGUAACAGCAAAAAUCUGUUUCUACCUACAUGUUCAUCAACAGCAGAUUUGAUUAAGUAUGGUUACAGUCACAUAAUAAAGUAUAUAGGCACUAAAAUGGAUAUAUCAAAAAACUAAGACACAGAAGGGUGUAUAAAAAUUUCAUUUAUAACAGUUUAAAACAGGGGCACGUGGGUGGCUCCGUCAGUUAGGUGUCUGACUCUUGAUUUCAGCUCAGGUCAGGAUCUCACGGUUCAUGGGAUGUAACCCCAUAUCAGCCUCCAUGCUGUUGGUGUAGAGCCUGCCUGGGAUUCUGUUUCUCUCCUCUCUCUGCUCCUUCUCCCGGUCUCACUGUCUCUCUCUCUCAAACUAAAUAAAUACGCAUUUUUUUAAGUUUAAAACAAAGCAAUAUUAUAUAUUAUUUAUUGAUAUAUACAUAUAUCAUAAUUGUAUGAAACAUUCAUGGGAAAGAUUUAGAACAGUAAUUUUUUCUGGGGGAGGGAACAGUAUCACAGAGGUCUAGUCAAUGGUAUCUACAAUUCAUUAUUAUCUUUUUAAUCUAUAGAAGGUUAAAAGUUGAUACAAGACAGACUAGGUGAGUGUUUGUUGUCAUGUCUUAUAUAAUUUUUUGGGUGCUGGCAAUAUUUAAUUUAAACAGAAAAUGUUAAAGCCUGUUGAAGUUGGAAGAACUUGGUGUCAGGUUAAGUCCUAAAUUCAGCACUUGCUGUUGAAAUUUAGAGCCUGCCAUCAAGUUCUAUAAAUAAGAUAAUAGAAUGUAGGAAUUACACUUAAUCCUCUAAUUACUCUCAGCUUUAAUCAAGCCUUUAUUAACAUAAUGUGUCUAGCUCGGGGUCUUAAAACCUGAGAGGGGAUUUAGGGAAGAGUAAUCAAAACAAUGAAAAAUAAGUAGGUGAUAUAAGGAAAGGCAAAGAGAACUGGGAUGAUUUAGACCAGUGAAAGAAAGCAAAGGGGGAAAUAUACUGAGGAAGAUGCACAGUUUGCUCCUUUUACACUGUCUGUGCCUCAAUUAAGGCUGAAUAAAAUUAGCUGUUUUGGUUAUCUACUGCUAUGUAGCAAAUCACUCUAAAACAUAGUGUUUUAAGCAAUGAUAAUUCAUUAUUUUGCUCCUGAAUCUCUAAUUUGACCAGGACUUCAGUGAAGAUGGUUCUUUGUGGCUCAGUGUGGCAUCAGCUGUAACAGCUCACCCCAGGUGAUCCAUUUGCACAAUGCUCCACUCGCAUGCUGGCAAGUUGGUGCCGGCUAUUGGCUGGAGCUACACUGGGACCACUGGCAAUGAUCUUCAGUUCUUCUCCUUUGUGGACCUCUCUAUGGGUUUCUUGGAUUUCCUCACACCAUGACGUCUGGAUUCCAAGAGCGAGAUUCCUAUGGGGGCAGGGCACUGCGUUUUUCUAUCCUGUCCUAAGAAGUCACAUAGUCACUUUCACCAAACUCUAUUAGUCCAAAAAGUCAUAGAGACUCACCUAGUUUCAAAGGUUAGGGGUGGGGAACUAGCGAAGAGGAAUGUGCACUCCACCUCUUGAUGGGGGCAUGGCAUGAUUAUAGAAGAAGUCUGGGUGGGAAGAUAUUGUUGUUUCCAUGUUUGUAAAAUACAAUGUGCCACACUGACGUACUUGCUCAAAUCUCUCUCUGGCUCAGUCUCUUAUUCUCACUGCUCCCGUUGAGAUCUUAUCAUGCCAUUCUCUUGUUCAGCAAUAAGGGACAUUGUUCUCCACUCUUCACACACCAGAUUUGUUCUGUGGAGCUGCAAGGCUUCAUGGAGUCUUGCAAUGUGUAAUAUUUUAUGUAAUAAUUUACAUGAUAUGUAUGGAAUAAUUUAUGGAGGGACCGUGAAACAUUCACUUCUGUGACCAAAACUUAGGAAAGGCUGACCAAAAAUAUUGAUGCUUCAGAUGCUUUUCUACUUGAGGUUAGCUAAAAUAACAUGACAGGACAUUCAUAUUUCAUGUAACCUGGUGUCAAGCCCAUGUGCAGACGUAUCAGCAACCCUGGUGAAUUUGGAGGAAUUUGCACAGCAGUAUUUCUGCCACAUUCAAGACAUUCAAGCAGAAUGUAACUCAUCAAUCAAAUCAGAUUUUAAAAUAUUUUUUAGCCUAAAGAAAGACAAGAUAGGCCUUGGAAAGUUUUUCUUUAAAGUACUCUAAGGUGUUUGACCUGGGUUUUUUCAGCACAACAGUCAAAAGCGGUAUUUGUCAAUUCAAAGAUCUGAUAGUUGGUCACACCAUUAGGCUUCCAUUUUCACUCAUCCACCAAAUGAAUACAUUGUUUUGUUUUUUUGCUAAACUCAGAAAAUUACCUACCACUUUACACCAGAAGUCCUACCACUUCUUUCUUAUGAAACUGUUAAAUAUGCUCCCUGAAUGGAUAUCAGCUAGACCUGGCUGACAUGUGAGACUAGUUUGCCCUAGGGACAGAUAGGACUGAGAGGGUUCUUGGGCUCUGCCUCUAUUAGGUUGGACAUAAUAAGUUGCUGAGAAUCAACCAGUUUUGUCCAACAAAAAAAAUGGGAAUUUCAAAUGGCUGUAUAUAUAUGCAUUGUUCAGAGUGAAAAAUUUCGUUGCAAAACCCAAGUCAGGGAUUUGAUUCAAGGCCAGUCUAGAAUGAGCCCUAACUAAAGAUUCAAAUGGUUUUUCCAUGUACAUAAUGUUUUUAUGUAAAAUCCCAGGAAAGUAGUAUCACUAACUGUUGAGUGAGUCAACCACUUCAGUUCUUCAGCAAACAACUAAGAAACGCCUGCUUAUCUGGGCUUUUAGCUGCUAUGCAAAUUAGUCAAUAACAUUUAAAUAGGACAGUCUUUAAGAAGACAUGUGAUAUUACUGGAUAAAGCUGUUGUGGAUUUUUUAAUGGACCAAAUUUCACUGGAACGGUUGAAGAUUUUUGUUUUCUAAACUGUGAGGUAGACAAACUAAUCUCAAUUUACCCCAGAAGUUAGAAGUAAUGAGAAGAAUCCUUAAGCAGUACUUAAUAAGUACUUAAUACUAUAAUUAUGAUCCAUAAAAUAGAUAUCCACAAAAACAUGACCAAAAUGAUUGGGAAUUAUGAUCAGUAUAACAUAAUAAUAAGGCUGUGGCAGAGUUUACAAGGUAACCACCUAUUUGAAUUGUCACCAAAAAACCCCACCAUAUGCUAAGAAAAUUAAAAUCAAAGAGACAUAUGAUUUAAAAGCACAUUAACUUCAUUUGAUAAUCUUUGGGAAUAAACAUAGGCUUGGGAGACCUUUGUGAGUGUUUCUGGGGAGUACGAAGUAUACUGCAAUGGUUAAAUAUUUCUGAUUGCUUUUGAAUUUCUCCUGUCUUUAUAAAGCCUCAACUGUACUAGGUGUGCUCCAAGUUGUGGGUUUAACAAUGAAAGGAUAAAAUUGUGCAUUGCACUACCCUGAGCUUCUCUUCUGAGUAUAGUCAGUAGCUGACAGCAUGCAGUCUGGAUAUGUGAAAAAGACGAGCCAUUUUCUACACCCAGCCAUGCAGUUCCAUCCCAAAAUUCUUCUCUCCAAGCACAACCCUUGGUCCGGAGACAGAAAUAUGAGGACAAAUUCAAAACUUCAUAUUUUUUUCACAUGUAGUGACAAGAACCCCACAAUCACUGUCCCACCACAUUUGAAUCUGUACUGUUCAUAUUUCUUUGAAUUCCUCAAAACUUAGAUAAAGGACGCCUUACAUGAUCUUUAAGUAACACAUUUAGCAGCAUUUCUGAAAAUAUGUUCCAUAGAGGUCUAGCUCUACAACAUGUUAAUAAAAUGAUUAUGACAUAAAAGAGUUUCAUGUCAAUGCUGGGUUAAGCAAAUUUAUUUAUUUAUGGUAAUUCCUAUCAGAGUUUUUUAUAUACCAACAUAUAUUAUAAAUCUUCUAGGGUAUAUAUAGCAUGUUGUAUAUAGCAUUCCAAACUUGUUUCAGUCAUGGAGACCAUUUUGCAAAAAUAUCUCAACAACCAAAACAAUAUCUUGUGAAACUUGGAUCUAAGCCAUUUCUUACAAUAUUUUUUUGAUACCAAUGUUAACUAUAGGUUCCUUACUGAUAAAAUUCCUUUCCAGGGUUCUUAUUUAUCUCCUUCUAAAUCUACUAACGUCUAAAUAUUUGUUUGGGAGUUUAUUUAUUCAAUGAAUACGUAUUAAAUGCCUACUAUAUUCAAACCACUAUUAUGGGCUUUGGAGACACAGAAAUGAGAAAUUUUUUGAGAGUACAAGUGGGGGGCGGGCAGAGAGAGGGGGACAGAGGAUCUGAAGUGGACUCUGAGUAGACAGGCUGACAGCAGCAAGCCCAAUGUGGGGUUCAAACUCACGAACUGCAAGAUCAUGACCUGAGCCUAAGUUGGAUGCUCAACGAACUUAGCCACCCAAGUGUCCCAGAAAUGAGCAAUUUGUAAAAUUUCCCUUUCCUUAUAGAACUUAAAUUCUAAAGGAGAUGUCAAUUUACACAUAAAUAAAAUUUCAAGAUUGCAGAUAUGGAUAACUGCUAAUGAAAAAAAUAAAAACAAGAUAAUGAACUAGAGAGUUUCUUGGUGGUAACUAGAGUGUUCGUGGCAUUUCAUAAAAGCAAUCAGCAUGAUUUCUUUGAGAAGGUAGCAUUAGAACUAAAGGAAUAUAAAAUGAGCCUUUCCCUUUACUAAUCUUUCAUCCUCUGUAUUACUUUUAAUCAAAAUAAUACUUGUACAUGGUAAAAAAAAUAAAAAUAUAAUGAACAGUUUAUAAUAAGAAAUAACUGCUGCUCUGACACUCUGCAUCUUAGCUCUAAUUCCAGAAGCAUCCUCUUUUAAUAGUUUAUUAUGUGAGAUUUUCUCGCGAUCACCAUUACAUGGAACCCAUAGGUGGAGUUUGACAGAGCAACAAGAUGGAAAGAUCAUGGGUUUCUCAAUGAUCUUGAGACUAUUGGAUCAGCCCUAAAGUUCCUUCUUCCAUGCAAGAGAGAAAUAAAUCUAUCUUCCUUAAACCUCUGAUAUUUAUCUAUUACUUGUAACCAAACCCCAUAUGAUACAGGAUCCAGUAUUAUCCCAGGCAACUCAAGGGAAAACAUUCAUAACACGCAAGUCAAAUGCAUUACAUUCUUCUAUUUCUACAGAGAUAGAAUCAUGCUACAUUUUAGUGUGCUUCCUAUUUGGGUUGUGACUUUCCUGUUUUUGUUUGUUGGUUGGUUGGUUUCCCCUUUUCUAAUUCUCUUUUCUGUUUUCUUAAAAGAGAAUAGAUGUGCCUGCUUCACCUGGUCAUUCAUGACAUCAGCUCUUAACCCAUUCUAAUCUUUAAAAUGUGUCUCUUCUACUUGAGUCAUCCUUCCAGGGCGAUUCAGAAGCUUCCAGCCAAACUGUCAUGCUGCAAUGUCUUUUCCCUAGACUCUUGGUUUAAUGCCACAGUUUCUUUUAUGACCAUUUUUCUCUUUCAUGGAUAUUUACCCUCAUUUUUCUAGAGUACACCAUAAUUUUCUAAGCAAGAAGAGUGCCUGGAAGUAAAUGUUCCAGGCCCCUAGAUGUUUGAAGAAGUCUGUUUUCUCUUCAUACUUUGAUUGGUUCUAAUUUUUUUUUUUCUCAGAACAUUGCAGGCUUUGUAUUGCUCUAUUGUCUUCAAGACCCCAUACAUUUGGGAUUGCCACCUGUCAGCCUUAUUCCUCUUCCUUUGUUUUUGACCUAUAUUUUCUUUCUGGAAGCUUCUCGGACAUACUGGUUAUUUCUGAUAUCUGAAGUGUCAUGAUGCUAUGUUUAGACAGGUAGUUCUUUUUGCAAUCAUCUCAACAUUGGGUGGGAUCUUUCUUUCUUUCUUUUUUUUUUUUUUUUUUUUUUUUUUUUUUUAGGGCAGAGAGAGAAAGAGAAAAUUCCAAUCAGGCUCCACGCUGUCAGCAUAGAGCCUGAGGUGGGGCUCAAACUCAAGAACCACGAGAUCAUGACCUGAGCUGAGAUCAAGGGUCAGACGCUUAGCCAACUGAGCCACCCAGGUGCCCCUGGGUGGGAUUCUUCAAGACCAAAUAUUCAGCUCUGGAUAUUUUUCUUCUAAUGUUUGGUUAAUUUCCUUCCCUCUGUUCUGUCUUUCAAAAACACCCAUUAGUUAAGGUUAAAUAACUAGACAGAUGCACUGUAUUUGCUAACUCUGAACUGAAGUUCCUUUAGAGUUUUUCCUGGCAAGUCAGUUCUUUCCAUUGUCACAGUCCCUGCUUAAGUGUCCUGGGUUGGUAUUUUCUCAAUUAAAAAAAGAAAAAGGGGGUACCUGGAUGGCUCAACCAGUUAAGCCAACUCCUGAUUUCUGCUCAGGUCAUAUUCCCAGGGUUGUGGGAUUGAGCCCUGUGUCGGGCUCUGCACUGGGCAUGGCGCCUGCUUAAGAUUCUCUCUCUCCCUCUCUCCCUCUCUCUCUGCUCCUCUCUCUCUCAAAAAGAAAAAAGGAAAAGAAAAAAAAAGCCAUCAACAGCCUUCUAUUCUCCUUUCAUCUUUUAGAAAUUUGUUGAAAUAACUCAUCUACAGAUGGCAUCCCUCCUUUUCUUUUGGUUUAUUCUUUUGUGUUUACUAUAUUUUAUUUUCAGACCUGUGUGUUCAGUCUGCCAUCUUGCUAGAAAACUUGAAGUUUACCUUGGGUAACACAGUUGAAAUUAAACUGCUACACCAUACUCUCAGCAGUACUAUUUUUAAAUAUAAGAAUAUGUUGUACAACGUAAGUAACACCAAAGCACAAGUUUAAGUAUUCAAGUAUUUUAUCACUAUAAAACAGGAUACAAAGGGCAAAAUACACCCAGGUUUUCUUUUCUUUGAAAAAAAACUGAACAGAGUGCUAUUCUUCUUCUUCUGUUGUUAUUUUUCAUUUUCAUGUAGAAUGCAGCUCUUGAUAUAUAGCUUUAAAAACAUUUUUUUUUCAUUUAGGUGAUAUCAUAAAAGCUUCUCUGUACAAAAACUUAAAUGAUUUUCAGUAGCAAUUUUCCCUGUGUCCUUGGACCAAUUUCUGAUUCUUUUAAGACAUGUUACCCACUGCGAUAUUAACGUAUUACUAUAAGAGUUGCAACAGCAGGAGACAGCUUUUUUCUUCCUCAGGAGACAUAGAAGGGAUGUGUGCCUACACUUUGUAUGAGAAUUUUCUUGACAUCUAACUUAUACUUUUGGCAGCAUAAGUGCUCUAUAGUAACACUUCUCCACUUUAGCAAGCUUCUUCUGAUGAACUCAAGGAUAUGUAGGCAAAACAUAUUUCUCUAUAACUCUCAUAACUAGUUGUUUAUAGAUAACUGAAAUAUAUUUAUUCAAUAAAUAUUAGAGCUGAACACCAUAUUUUGUCCAGGGAUACCACAGUAAGUAAGACAUCACGCCCUUCAGGAACUAUUGUGUUUAAUGAAGAAAUACAAUUAAGUAAACAGUAAAUUUCAAAAAAAAAAAGUCACCAUUGCUAUUGUAGAGUAACCAUAAGAUGCCAUUAAAGCAUAUAAAUGGAACAGUGAACCCCAUGGAGGCAGAGGGGGAAUCUAGGUGAUAGAUAGCUUCCUGAGGAGGUGACUCCUGAGCUGAGUGAUCCUCAAAGGACCAGCACAAAUUAGCAAAGGGAAGGAAGUUGAGAUAGAUGGGAUAAAAGGAACAUUCCAGGUGUUCAGAACAAUGCGUGUGAAGGCCAGGAGCAGUGAGCAACAAGCAAAGAUGGUAAGAAAUGGAACUGGAGAAGGAAGCAAAGACUAGAUUCAAAACUAUUUCCAGUAUUCCAUAUCUAAGAAUGUGGACUUCCUUCUGAAACAAGCAUUAAAAAAAACUAUGCUCAGUAUAGAAGCAAAUCCUUCAUUCUCGCUUUGAGCAAGUUCUGAUUUUUUUUUCAUAGGUGAAAUAAUAAUGUCACAAACUUCCAUUACAGGUUCACUGCGUGCAAGAUACUGUACUUGGCCGGUAGGAGGUAAUAGCAUUCAGCCUCAGGAAUCAGUGUGAAAACAGAGCAGAAUAUUUGGAACUGCUGUGUAUCCUGGUAAGAAGGGAACCUGAGUAGCAGGAGUGCUGGGUGGCAGAAGAUAAAACUGAAAAGUUACAGGGGCACCUCUGAGGCUCAGUAGGGUAAGUGUCUGACUCUUGAUUUCAGCUCGGGUCAUGAUCUCACUGUUCGUGGGAUGGAGCCCUGGCAUUGGGCUCUGUGCUGAUAGCAUCAAGACUGCUUGGGAUUCACUCUCUCCCUCUGUCUCUGCCCUUACCCUGCUCAUGUGCUUGCUCUCUCUCUCAAAUAAAUAAACUUUUUUUAAAAAUUAAAAAAAAAACUGAAAAGUUAUGUUACAGCUUAUAUCAUAGUAAGGACUUGGACUUUAAAUAAUAAAUAUGCUAUCCAAGUUUUCUCAACAAGAAAAUGGACUCUGUGUGCGUUUUACCCAAAAUGUGUAUUCCUCCUCUUUAUUACAGUGCACAAGUCGGAAAAUAUAUCACUUGGCUUGAAGCAAUUUAAACUCUACUUCUCUUUUAGUUAAUUAAGGACCUAGGCUACCUAAACGAGCCACAAUGGCUUGUUUUAAAUAUUGAUGCUGGACACCACUCCUCCAAAUACAAAUGGAACAUUCAUUUCAACUUGCCCUCAAGGAGCUCGCAGUCCAAAGUUACGACCCAAAGCAGUUUUCAUAAGCCCCCAUCAUAUUUUUCUCUACUGUUCAAUGACAGUGAAAUGGAAUAGCCAUCAAAUUUCAUGGUAAUCCCAUGGCUGUACAUCUCUCCAUCCUUUCCUCUGGGCUUCUUAUUUAAUGAACAAGUUAAGUUAAAGACAGUGGGUUAAGUUGACCCGCAUUCCUUCUCCCAGGGAAACUACUGAGACAUCACUAUCUUCUAAAAACCAGAAACUCUUUCUACCUCCUUCUUACAAACAGGAGCUGAUUCAGUUUGUUUGGACAUGAACUUCAUUCAUUUGGGAGAGGAAAAGGACUCUUUAAGAAAACAGAAUACAAAAUUAUAUACAGAUUCCUAGCUUUCCUCCUUGUAAGAAGUUGGAAGGGAUCCUCACAAAUAAAGGGCCAAGCUUUAUUAGCUUCGUGGCAAAUUCUCCUCUCAGGAAGGACAAAUAUAUAAACAUGCAAUGUACUUUAAGAGUUAUUAACCAAAUGUGCGCCUACAUUGGGUGUAAGAAAUCUAUCAGAAACAUGAAAACUCCAUUAAAAUCCCCUGCUUUCUGCUAUCAUCAUCCACAUUUGCCAAAACCUUGACUUAUCACAGGGAGCAGUUUUCACCUGAAUAUUGAAUCAACAGGGAAAUUUUUGUGCACAGCCUGUCCUUUCUCUCUCUCUCUCUCCCCCCACCUCGUAUUUUAACAAUUUUACUGAUUCUAGAUUCCACACCUUGACACUUUAGCAAUGAACGUUUGCCUCAUAUAUGCCCUUUCAAUAAGUUCCAUCCAGAGAGCUAGGCCAUUUUCAAAUGCUGGCACCCAUAUAGCUAGGAUAAUAAGGUAGACAAGAUGUGUUUUAUCAGGUAGAAAAAAACAACAGGGGGAAAAAAGCUGCUUUGGGGCAGUGUCCUUAAAAGUCAGGUUCUGAAGCCAAUGUUGGCUGCUACAUUUAGCUGCUUAGUUCCGUGGAAACCAGUUGUAUGACUCUGCAGAUAAAAGGCUGUAGACCUCUGGAAUACAGGCAAGUAGCACCUCAUUAUACAAAUAGAAGCAACUCAACUAUGCAUGCCCUCAAACUGAGCUCAGUGUUCUGCUGCAUUUCAAAAAUAUCCAUCUGUUCCAAGAGAAGAAACAGGAAGUUUUGUUAAUUAUCUCUCACAACCCACUAGUUAGUUUCCAGAAAAAUCACUAAAGCCAUCUUUCCUGAAUAAAUUUAACAAGUAAGUUACAAGAUGCAGCACAGUAGAUAAACCUUCCAUUACUCCUUUUAAAUGAACCAAAUCUAUCAGUUGGCCGAUUGCAUACUCACUGCCUCUAAAUCCCUUCCCGUGUCCUCGGCGCUCAACAGCCAUAAUUAUUUCCUGGACAUAACUUUUUUUCAUGUGGCAAUGUUGAUUAAUAAAGCAAUAUCACACUAGAUAUAUGCAAAACACUAGAUAUUACACAAGCAUUCAAGAGAUAUUUUCUGACUGAUUUGCUUUAAGCACAGUUCAGGGUCAGGAUUCCAUUAAAAUAUCUCACAAAUUUUCACACUAUUAGACAAAAUAAACUCAUGGGCAAUAUCUUCUUCUUGGUUAUUAGCUAAUUUAAAUAGGUGUCUCUAAAACUUCGUCCCCAGUCCAGUUAUGUCGUGUUGAAUAAGAUCCAUGCCAGAGUGCUAUAAUGGUAUUAAGGAUACACAUGCCCAUUUGGACUCCUGCCAUCAUUCUAUAAAUCAUUGCCAAUUAUGCCAAUAAAGCAGCCUGGGCAAUGAUUGAUUUCUUAGUUAUGCAGUCAGCUGCUCUUCAACACUUUGUUUUCCUUCAAAUGUCUCAACCAUGGCCUUGUUUCCUGAAAUCAUGAUGGCUUACAUACCCCCAAAAAAGAGACAACUGUACACAUCUGUUGGUGAGAAAAAGUUUAGAAAGUCAGUGAAGCCUCAAUAAUUCCAUCUAAGCGUUGGGAAAGAUAAUGCAAAUUUGGGAAAACGCUGGACUGUGAAAGAUUUCUUUAAAAACAAAGUACUUGUUUUUCCUACUAUUAUAUAUCUACAACAAUUCAAAUUAACCUAACAAAGAAUCACUUUUUGAAGUGCUCCAAGUCAGUGAAAUAUCUGGUAAGUCUAUAAAAAUAUAACAAAUAUUUAGCAUUAGCAUGACAGUUGACUGUUAACUGGGGUCACUUAUUCACUGGCAAAGAGAAGCACAAUAUUAUGGAAUCUUUGAAGCAAUCCGCUUUUAUUUUUAGUAGAAUCAAUUAUUUGCCAAAACUUAAAUGUGUUUUUAAUCAAAUAUCUUGCAUCAAGCCUGGAUAUUUGCUAUCUAUUCAGAUAUUAAACACUAGGCCCAGCUGGAAAACAACGUGCUAGAGUGGGAAGUGGAUAGACUCUGAAGCCAAACAGAUUUGGAUUCAAAUCCAGCUUCAUCCUUCACUAGGUCUACAGGAUUUAUCUGUUAAUUCAGCCAACAAAUAUGUAUCAUACAGCUACCCUGGGCUGCAGAUACGGUGAUGGCAAUGAGACCAAAGUCCCUAUUUUGUGAAGGCUAACUUCUCUAGGUUAAAUUCCCUCUAGUGGAGAGAAGGAAAUAACCAAAUAAAGGAAGAAAAUAAUUUCAAAUAACCUUAAGUCGGCAGAGAGUGAGUGGAGGGAGGCUGGAGUGGGAAAUAUGUUUAGGUGGUUAGUGAAGACCUCAAAGGGCAGACGAUGCCCCAGGUGAGACCUGAAUGACACGGAGGGCCAGGCAUGUAAAGGCUGGGAGGGAGCAGAUUAUUCAAAGCAAAGAGAACAGCACAGUGGUCCUCAGUUGAAACCAGUUUGGUGUGUUUAAAGAAAAUAAAUAAAGCCGCGGCGUUUUUCUCUGAGUGACAACUGUCUUCAGAUGUGAGAUGAAAAUAGCAAUAAUGCCAAUUUUGCAGAAUUAUCAUUGGGGAUUUCAUUUGCAAAUGCCCUCAGGAGUCCCUAACACAUCUUAAGACACUCAAAAACAAAAGUAAAUGUUAUUGUCAUUACCAUUAAUGUUUGGGGGCACUGAAAUCUUGUAACUACUUCAAUAUCUAUAAAACCAAAAGAGGUUCAUCCACUCAGAGUUAUGGAUAAUUUCCAAAUAAUGCUAGUGAGCUGUGUUUAUCUAAACCACCAGAACUGAGCUUUGCUUUAUCUCCUCAUAGAAACAGACAUUCAUGUUUAAUUUUAAAUGCUCAUGAAUAUAUCUUUUCAUCUUAAAUACCCUUGAAUAUAUGUCUGCCAUGUGCAAAACAUUUUAUUAAAAACCAGCAUUGCAGGGUGUUCCACAAAUCUUGUGCAUGUGUGAAAACUGAUAUUGAUAAAGUGGCAAUGCGUCCACCUGGGUCACUUAUAAAUAUGCAUAUCUUCUGCAUUAUCAAUACACAAAUGUUCAAGCACAUGGACUGUGUCAGAACUGUAGCACUACUGUGACUAGAAUUACGUGUUCAUAAUACACUUUCUAAAGUAGCUGCUGAAACCAGUUAAUUGUACUAAGCAUAAUCAAAUUCAUAAGCAUCCCUCUUAACAUUUAACUUUAAGUCACCCCUGGGUGAUAACUGACUCAAUCAUACUACUUCAUAAUUAUUACCCUAAUAUUUACUAAAGCCUAAGCUACUUAAUUCUUCCAAACAAUAAAAAUGUCUGCACACCAAGAAAGCUACUUUCAAAUACAAUUCAAAUCAAACAGGCCAAACCUUGGAGCUAUACAGAGAAAAUACAAAUAGUUUCUAAUUCAGUAAGAAAUAUUAUCAAUUAAAAGAAGCUAUCUUCUUUAUUUAAAAAUGCUAGUUGUCUAGGGAGCCUGGGUGGCUUGGUUGGUUGAACAUCCAACUCUUGAUUUUGGCUCAGGUCAUGAUCCAGGGUCUAGCGAUCUAGCCCUGUGUUGGGCUCUGCACUGAACAUGGAGCCUGCUUGAGGUUCCCUCUCUCUCUCCCUUUGUUCUCCCCUGCUGCUCACAUGCUCUCUCUAAAAAAAAAAAACAAAAACAAAAACAAAAACUCACCAAUAUGCAUUACUUCCUUCUCUAUCUUUAUCUAAGUUCUUUGAGACCCAUAAGUCACACAGAAAACAAAUCAUCUUGGUUCCACUUAAACAUCUUUGUCUUAAAAUCAAAAAAGAAAAUGAAUUUGGGCAACAAAAUAAAUGAUGUAACACUAGAUUAUAAUCCAAAAUGUAAAACAGAUAUCCAUGGGUCUGUAUUGAUAUAAAUAAAUGAUUAAAUAAAUGAGAGAGAAGAGACAAAUCUCCUAUGCAGAAACUUUCCAAACAAAUUGUGUAGAUAUCCGGUCCACGAGGAGAUGAAGCAUAACUCUGCACAUCUUAAGUUGUGGGGUAUACAUAGUAACUUCCUUCCAAAGAGUACAGUUUGGAAAGUGGGCAAAAAAAGAAUAACAUGACAGUGGAAAAAGCUGACAAACACUCCCUCAGCUAGGUGAUCAAGGUCAAUAUCAAUAGUGAUGAGUCAUAUUGAUAGUAUACAUCUUUGAGAUGAUGCUCUGAGAGAUGAUGUGUUGAGAAUGGUACUUUACCUUGAUAAUCUUCUUUCCCAAAACCUGUAACCCCAAUCGAUUUAUAAGACAAACAUGAGACAAAUCUCAAUUGACGGCUGGUCUACAAAAGGCUUGAGUACUCCAAACUCAAAGUCAUCCAAAACAAGAUAAGUCUGAGAAACUGUCACAGCCAAGAAGAGCCUAAGGAGACAUAAUGACUAAAUGUAAUAUGAUAUCCUGGAUGGGAUCCUAGAACACAAAAAAGACACAGGCUAUAAACUAAGGAAGUCUGAUUAAAAUAUGGAUUUCAGCUUAAAGAAAGAAAACAAUGUACAUUCACAAGUCUCUGGAAUCCUUUGAAAUGAGCCUAAGUGAAUCAGGAGUAAAAUACACUAUUUUCAUUUAUUGAUUUUCCUUUUUCUAGCACAGGUUACUGGUUAACUCAACAUAAAAACACCAUCAAUAACUAAGAGGUAGCAUUUGAGGAAAAUAUCAAAGUUAUCAACCCCCAUCCUCAAAAGGUGUUUUAAAAGUUUACUGAUUUAAAUAACAAUGGUAACAUUUGUAAGUGAUUUGGAAAAGCAAGGAAAAAAGCUCAAGUCUCAGCUACCUCCUAGAAAUUGCUCUCCUGUGGAACUCUUCCCAGUGUGAACACUUACAGAAAAAUAACAGCCUAAUUAUUGGCAGACUUUUCCUUAUCACUUACUAUGUAUGAAGAACCUCUAUAAGCCUUUUAUAUUAAGUCAUAUAAGUCUCAUAUCAUCGUCAUUAUUAUCCAUCGUGCUAAUAAGGAAAUUGAGACACUGAGAGGUUAAGAAACUUGCCCAUUAACCAGACUAGUAAGUCACAGAGCCAGUUUUUUUUGUUUUGUUUUGUUUUUAAUGUUUAUUUUUUGAGAGAGAGAGCAAGGGAGGGGCAGAGACAGUGGGGGACAGAGAAUCAGAAGUAGACUCUGCCCUGAUAGCAGAGAGCCUGAUGCAGGGCUCGAUCUCAUGAACUGUGAGAUACUGAACUGAGCUAAAGUUGAGCUUAAUUGACUGAGUCACCCGACUCAGUUUUUUAACCAAGGCAGUGUGGUUCCAGGGCAUGUACAUUUUCUGAAUGGGCUACAUAUCAUCCCCACUUCUCUUUCUCCUGAGGGCUCUUCCAGAGCUGCUCCAAGUCUGCCCUGAGUGCCUCCUUUGCCCCACCGCUGAGUGUCCCCUUUGUCAGCCACCACCACCACCAUCAGAAAAACUCCAGGAUUUCCGGUGGGGCAAAUCAGUUUCUUGUCCACAGUAGUUUAGUUGUCCCGGAAGCACAUUCUGAGAUAGAGUUUAGCAUGCAGGAUGUUGACUACAGAGUUCCCCAUGGUACCAAUACCUGUAGAAGUGAGAUGGCAAGUAUAAACAGGCAGGGAGAAGUCAAGCUGUCACGCAGGCCCAACCAACCUCGGCAGACUCACAGAGAGUCUGGGUCUAAAAUAGCCCCCAAAGCCACCUCCAGGUGGGCCAAGACAGCCAGGCUUCCAUUAAUUGCAUGAUAAAUUACAUAAUCACCCUGCCUAAAACCUGCCAUAAUCAGCACAGAAAAAACAAACUCUUCAGUCCCCUCUGUGGUCAUGCCCAUUCCAAAGCAUAUGCUGGGUUCCCUGUGGGUAGCUUUGCCCAAGCAGGGCCCAUUUGGAGUAGGUAGUAAUCAAAGUGAUCUUAUCUGACAGGUAUCUCCCUUUCUAGCGAAGUGUCAGGUAUGAAGUUUGAAAAUCCACCAUUAGAAAUUCAUUCUUUUUUCUAUUUUGAAGUUUUUUGUCAUGAAAACACUUUCACCAAAUUGCAAAAAAAGUCCUCCAAUACAAACCAUUUUCAGCUAAUCCUGGUGGAACUUAAUUGAUUGUAGCUGUAAGCAAAGAAGAGAACACUUUGAAAGAGAAAUGGGGCACUAAAAGAAGAAGUAAGAGGAUGCCAAAAUUAAAUACUACCUUAGUUCACAGGUUUACUGACAGUCAACUCUGCACCCUAGUAACAAAGAAGUUACUCCCUUCUCUUUACCUUCAUGUCAUUUCAGUGCCCUCAGGACUCUAGAAAAUAAUAAAGACAUUUCAUGGGACAUCAUAUGUUUCAUAAUUGCAUUAUAGUGCAUAAAAUAGAGUCUGAUUAUUUCUCUGAAACUGAUCUCUUCCCAAAUGGACAAUGUUUACUGCUACUUGGACCUUCUUGAUUUCUGUUGCAUAAUACCGGGAGAAAUAUGCCUAGAGACACCCUUAACACAAACUAUAGUCCUAGCAGAUCAUGUGUAAGUUCCCACAAAUACAACCAAGGAUCUAAUAUGUGCCCUUAUAUUUAUGGAUGUCAAUGCAAGAUGAAGAAGAUGUGAAAAUUACUAGAAACCAAUUUACAGCAGCUGAAGCAAAUUAGGGCUUUAGGGCUCAUUGAAAAAAAGAAAGAAAGAAAGAAAGAAAAGUAAUGAAACAACCAGCUCUAGGCAAACCAUAUGUCCCAUCCAAAUUCUUUAUUAAUGGAAGUAUAGCUACAUGUUAAAGAGGAUUUAGUUCCUACAGCAAAGAUGCCAAUAGUGAUAUGAAUAGAUUGUAAUUUUUUAUUCUCAAGGUGAGGGACCAAAAAAUUGUGCAGUUAUUUAGAGGCAGUUUCUACAGUGACCUUACACUCACAUGUGUGAAAGACCUCUACAUUAUUCUCGACAGUGCCCAAAACUCAGUGUACUCUUUGAAAUUUGGGGAAAUGAUACAUCUUGAUUUUGCCAAGAUUAGAAAACUUCAUUCUCUACCAAGAAUCUUCAAAGUAGUUGGCCUAUAUCUCUUGACUACAGCUGAGAUUUUUAACAAUUACCACAAAGUUACCAAAGCUUGAAACAUUGGUAGUAGGUCAAAAGCUACCUUCUAAUAGUAGUAAUAAUCUAUAUGGGGUCACAAUUUCCAUAUAUGUUAAAAAAAAAAAGUGGACAGAGAAUGUGGCAUCUCUGAGCAAAAAUUAACAUCCAAAGGAAUUUUCUGCUCAGAUGACAUCAAAAAUCACCCUUCAAAUGAGCAAAUCAUCUACCAGCUUUUAUCAGCAUGUAACAGAGACAAAAAAGUUUAUAUACAGGACAUGCCACAAAAAUCGACUUGAUCUCACUAAGUUAUAGUGAACCUUUCUCUGAAAGGUUCUCCAUCCCCAAAUACUUACAUUUUGCAAAAUUGGUUCAGUGUAAAAUCAAAAACUUGGAAACAUCAUUGUGAACAAGAAUUGGGUCAAAAGUCAAUGUGUCUUAGGCUCAUUAGUACAAUUUUCUUCUGAUUCUCAACCCACACACAUGCUUAAUUUCCUCUGGUUGAACUUUUUAGCUCUCCAAAUUGCCAAGUGUCUCUUAAACUUACCUAACCAUUGAUUAAUCUUACAUUUCAAAAACUUUAUUAUCAAUUAUAGUACACUAUCAUCUUGAAUUAAAAAAUCAUUAAAAUAUAUACAAUGGAAUACUAUUUGGCAAUGAGAAAGAAUGAAAUCAUGCCAUUUGCAGCAACAUGGAUGGAACUGGAAGGUAUUAUGCUGAGUGAAAUAAGUCAGUCAUAGAAGGACAGAUAUCAUAUGUUUUCAUUCAUACGUGGAUCUUGAGAAACUUAACACAAGACCAUGGGGGAAGAGAAGGGGGGAAAAAAUAGGUACAAAGAGAGAGGGAGGGAGGCAGACCAUAACAGACUCUUAAAUACAGAGAACAAACUGAGGGUGGAUGGGGGGGUGGGGGAGAGGAGGAAAUGGGUGAUGGGCAUUGAGGAGAGUAUUUGUUGGGAUAAGCACUGGGUGUUGUAUGUAAGUGAUGAAUCACGGGAAUCUACCCCAAAAACCAAGAGCACACUUAACACACUGUAUGUUAGCUAAUUUGGCAAUAAAUUAUAUUUAAAAAAAGAAUAAAUUAAGAAUAAAAAAAAACAUUGAAAAAGAUCCAAUUACCCAAUUAUCCCCAUUUUUUAUAAACUACCAUUAUGAGUAAUAAUUACAUUAUAAUUCUUAAUGCCCUAAUAUUAUUAGUAUUAUUAGUACUAGUCUGUGUUUUUACCUACAAUAUUUGAAGUAUGUUUGUUGAUAUUCCUUAAAGUGUGCUUUAUUCCUUAUCAUUAUUGAUACUCCUUAUCAUUACCUAUGAUUUAGGGUGAAAUAUUAUCAGAGUUUGACCGUAUAAUUUGUUUUCUUAAGAGGAAUCAGCUACUCUUUGAUUCCUCUAACUGCUAGUGAUCAAGGUUGCUCUUUAAUAUCUGAAAAUACUGGAACAAAAUCCACCAAUCACUAAUCAUCCAUAUACAUGCCUCUCUGGAACACUCCAUUACCAGAGCAAUAAAAAAUGAUGGCGCUUUUGAGUACAGCAUCAGUAUUUAUAUACUGUAGAUAGUUUUACAGUUGAACAUGUUAUUAUGUUUAUGCCUAGCAGUUAUAGCCAUGUUCCCUGUUUAGUGAUGACAUACUAUGAAAGUACUCAUAGUAAACUAACUAGAAAUAAUUUAUACACUAUCAUCAUGAGAUGGACAGCCUGACACUAAAAGUCCUAUUAACUAUAACAUUAAAUGAUCCUUUGAAUAUUACUUUCUCCAGGAUGAAGAUACUUUAAGGUCAGCUAAUUCAAAUAUUAGACUGCCUCACGAUUAUGCUAGCCCCUUUUUUCUAUUUAAUAUGUUGAAUUUCAAAGUGUGGUUUUAAUUAUUUUGCAUUCUUAAAUGCUUAACGUGUACUCUGUGUAAAUUAUGAAGCCACAGAAGUUUUGAUCCAUGAGGUAUACUGAUCACAUAAUUGCAUGGUCAUGUAAUUCCCUUAGUAGGUCUCUCACAAAGUUCACUCAACUUUUUCAUUUCUUUCAAUGUGUGUGAUACCAGAAUUCUUUCAACACAUGGUAUGCACCUAUCAGAAGUUUCACUACCCUGUUUUAUUAAAAGCAUGGAGGGUGUGAUUUCCAAUCCUUUAUAAUUUCUGGAUUUACUAAUUAAAUUGCUUCAAUCGUGUCAAAGGCACUUUUUAUCACUUAGAAUAUUAAAAUCAGCCCUUUUUGGAGAACAAAGUCAAUCAGAAAAACUCUAAAAGCAUGAAAAAGUGUUUCCUGUGUUCAAAUGACUUAAAAGGAGCUCAAAGGAAAUUCACCAAAUUUAAAUAAAAAUUCAUUAUCCUAAAGAAAAUAAGCCUGCAAAUUAAAGCCACAGCAGCCAGCACCCUGAAAACAAGGCUAGGUAAAAGGCAGCCCCACCUACAAAGGACACACUCUCCUACUAUUCUUAUUAUGAUCUUUCAUCCAUGCCUCUAAUCUGUUUAGAUGUAUAGCAAAUUCUUCAUCUGAUGUGGUCAGUAAACGGGGUGUUUUGAUUAAUGUGUUGGUCAAGGGAGACAGGAAUUAAACAUUUUCAAACACCUAUAUGUGGCAACUACAUUCCAUUGUAUUCCAUAUCAUAGUUCUCAUGAUGUCCUGCAAGGUAGGUAUCGUUAGGCCCAUUUUUCAGAUGCAAAGACCGAGGGUGAGUGAUGUUACAGAACUCUUGUGAACUCACCGGGCUAGCAAAUGAAGAGGCAUGAUAUAAAUCAAAUUGUUCGAUUCCAAAGCCCCUACCCCUACUUUUGCAUUUACCAUGUUGAAUAUGUAUACCAUACCAUAUACAAAUGACUACUUUCCGGGGAACUCGAAUAUGAUAAAAAUAAAUUUGGGCCAUGAGAAAUAUAAUUUAUUCUCUUUGAAGAUUCAAAAAGCAUUUAAGAAUUUUGUCAUGCCUCAGGGUCAUCAUUAGAAACAUCAGUCAUGCUUUCAUUAUCAAUAUAUCAGAAGUGCCUAUUAACAGAGAUUUAUGGUUAAUGGAAUGACAAGGAAUAUAUCUGUACAUGUGUCUGCUUUCUACAUGAACAUGACAAAUUUCAGACUUCCAAGACUAUCUAAGUAACCAUUUCAUGAUUAUACAUGAAAAUAUGAUUUCUCAUUAAGCAUGAUUGUACAGGCUGUUUGCACAUUGCCCUCACAUGAAGCCUUUUGAAAUUACUCAGUGCACAGAGCAUGAUAUGCCCAUCAUCAUACUUGCCCUUUAAACUCCGUGGCACAUUAAGUCCAGGCUUAACAUCCAAAUCCCCAGAGACCUACUGCUUUUAAUCCCUAAUUAGGAAAUGACCUCAAGUAGCCCCUAACAUCAUCCAAAGGAAAGGACUGUUUCAUUUGUUUUUCCAAUUUGUCAGACUAAUGAUAACCCCAAAUAAAGUCACUUUCAUCACAUUACCACCAUGGGGCCAAAUACUGCUCAGCUCCUCUGAGCAUAUUCUGGAUUUUUAAAGAAAUUUUUAAUGAUUGAAAGUUUUCCUGACCCAAAACAUAAAUUCUCCACCAACAGCCUUUCUAACCCUGGCUUGUGGGUUGAGGAGAGAUUUGGAAAACAAAGGCCUCCCCUGGCCUCCUUAGCUCUUCAUAGCCUUUGGAUGCUGCCUACUCUACCACGUUGACCUUGAUUCCCCCCACCCCAAACUUGAAUCUUAGCAGACACCAGAUCCCAUGCCAAAUACAAAGUUUUAGUCAUCUGUUUCAGUAUCUUUGUAUUUCUUCAUUGCCAUGGAAUGCUAGAAUGGGCAAGCCUGUAACACAGAAAAAUAAUAAUGUGCAACCUAUGCAUGUGCACAGUCUAAAUGAAUCUAAUCUAUUAGUGUUCUCUCCACAAGUUCCAUUUUAUUUAUUUUAAAAUGUAUUUAUUUAUUUUGAGAAGGAGAGAGAGCAGGAGCAGAAGAGGGGCAGAGAGAGAGGGAGAGAGAGAAUCUCAAGCAGCCUCUGAGCUGUCAGUGCAGAGCACAACGCAGGCUCGAUCCCACAAAACAGAUCAUUACCUGAACUGAAAUCAACAGUCAGAUGCUUAACCAACUGAGCCACUCAAGGGCCCCUCCCCAAGUUCCAUUUUAAAUUAUACAGCUACAUGUCAUAGAUUUAAAAUCUUCCUCUUCAGAUGGCUUAACUAAAACUAUGAUAAACAAAUCCUUUCUGAUUUAUAGGAACUUCCUAAAAGAUCUCCUAUUUGAUAUGUUAUAAAAACUAGGAAAUAUGCAACUGUUAAUAUCAGAGAAGGAGGUAGUCUGGGAAAAAAAUCAUAUGGUCAGAUUUAUUAAUGGUCUAGAAGAUGCAAGAAAAGCAAACAAACUUGAAAAUUUGCAUAAAUGUGAAGCUUAGAAUAUAUUUCAAACUUUCAAGGGCUAGUGAUAUUUGGAAAGGAAGAGUAAAAAUUUAGAAAAUCAAGGUAGCUGUAUUAGUUUGCUAAGGUUACUAUAAACACAGAUUUGGUGCCUUAAACGACAGAAAUGUAUUUUCCCACAGAUCUAGAGGCUGGAAGUCUGAGAUCAAGAUGUUGCAGAAUUGGUUUCUUCUGAGGCCUGUCUCCUUAGCUUGGAGAUGGCCAUCUUCAACCUGUGUCUCCAACAUGGCCUUCAUCUGCGCAUAUCUCUGUCUGAAUGUCCUCUUCUUAUAAGGAUACUAGUCAUAUUGGAUUAGGGCCCACCCUAAUGACUUCAUUUUAAUACCUCUUUAACAACCCCUGUCUCCAAAACAGGAUUUGUACAUAUAGAUAUGGUGGGAACACAACUCAGCCCAUAACAAAAAGGACAUGAAAAAUAUAAUCCCAUUCCAAGACUGCCUGUGCCCUCAGAUGAUUUCUGUUAUGAAUGAUGCAGAGCAAAGUGACCCAUUGUGGAAUGAGAGAUCAGGACCUGAAGUAUAGAUACCGAAGAUGUUGCUAUGGUUACAUGAACAAAGGCAAUAUUAAAAGCAGCCUGAGUAGAUGGGGCAAUAAUUUAAUCAUAAAAACUUGUAAUAAAAAUGGUGAGGUUUGAUAUAAAUUUUAUAGAUUUUUAAAGAAAAAAAAGCACAUAUGAUCUUCUAUUCAAAAUUUGGUUCCUAUGUUCAAAUAUACAUUACAGAUACUUUCAUUCAUUCAUUUUAUUCUGUCUAUGUUUAUUAUUGGCAGCCUACUAUAUGUGCUGUGUUAUAUAACCAAAGUCCAAAUAAUAGACAGUGUUUUGUUUUCUGGUGAACAAUACCAACUUAAAAGUGAGCCUUUUGGCAAGUCAAUGUUAAAUCAGCUUGCCUUUCAUUUUAAUUGUUUACUUCUUUUAGUUUUUAUCAAGAGUAGGCAACAUAAAUUUUAGCUAGUUGUCAAAUGAAACAUAUGUAGAAAAUAAUUACAUAUACAUAUGUAUGCCAUUGUUGUUUGUAUUCAAACACACCAUGGCUAAAGCAAAGGUUUUCCUGGUACUUCCAUGUAUUUAGAAUAGUAAUUAUUAAUGGGUGCCCUUUCUUGAGUGGCAAUAUUUGAAUUAAGAACAGUCACUAUCAAGAUCUGGAGCCCUCACUGGUGCCAUGAAAUUUGCACUCAGAUUGUGCCACUUAAUGACUCUGAAGAUUCAUAUCUGACUUCCCUUAGCUCUAGAUUUGAAUAGCACUUCUAAGGAAAUAACAAAAAGGAUGUCUGUAAAUCAAGAGAUCCUUAUGAAGAAGCUUAUCUUUAUCCUAAAAAGAAAUGAUAAACAGAUAGUCAUGACUAAAUAAGACCCUUCCAGGAUACCAAAUGGCUGCUGGCAAUUCCAUGUCACAGGUUUUCAGGUAGUUAAAUACAAUUUUCAAAAUGUCACCUUCAAACACCAAAGCUUGGUAGGAAAAUUGCAAAACCCACAAAGGGAGAAAUCACUAUAAUACAGGAUGUCUCUGUUCAUUCUUAAUGGACUCCUAUUACUCGAACAGACCAUGUGACUUUAGAAAGUCUUUGUCUGCAUUAAAUUGCAGAAUGGUUUGAACAUACUACAGAUGCCAUGGAAAGCAAAGAUGGACAAUUUGUUUUCAAGCUGAAAACAUGUAAUGGUUGCCUAGUACAGAGAUAAAAAAUUGGCAGAUGAAGUAACCCAAAUUGACUUGUAAAACACUUGAAAACAAACAACUUUUCAUUACACAUCUCAUUUCUCAUCUUUAAGCUUUGGCAGUGAGCAUUCUUUGGAGAGCUGGUCUGAUGAAGAAAGCUUUUACAGCUCCAUUUCAUGAAAACCAUUGUUUGUGUUUCUGAGUUCAAUCGAAGUCAAAAUUAGCAAGAGAGCAGGAAGAGUUAAAAUGCCAGUUCCAAAGAUCCUCUAGAGAUUAUUAAUCAGCAUUGCCUGUUCUCCAUGGAAUCUUUUUCUUAUAAGUGAAGCAAGUCUGGCAUUGCCAGCAAAUGUCAAUGCCAUGCAGAGAGAAUAGAUAAAUUUAGAACAAAUGAUUUCCCAGUUAAAUAGGGACCAACAGUGAGUUUAUAAUAAAACAAUUUGCACACAGUUUGGAAUAUGACAAUGGUAAUUGUUCUUACGUUGAAAACAAAUCUCUACUGAUGUGUGCCUGUGGCAGAGCAGAGCAUGUCCUGAUAUAGCCCUUCCCACAUCUACAUACAGUACCAGGAAGGCCAUUCAGUAUUUGUUAAUACUUGCCCAGCUUAGACAAGAUCGUAACACAUUGGGAGGCAUGACUACACACAAGAGUUUUCAAAUCCUUAUUUUGAGCUAGAAAUACAAUAUUCAAUAGCAGAUAUUUGAAAGCAGAGAAAGAAUAGAAUGCCCUUUCAUCUUCAGCUGGUGGUUCAUAUUCCUGUGACAGGGAACUUCUGAAAAUGUUUUAAUCCUGCCAGAGCACUGACUCUCAACCUGGAUGUACAAUGAAACCAACUGAGGAGCUUUAAUAAACUGAUGUCUGGAAUCCACCCCAGAGACUCUGAUUUAAGUGAUUUGGGGUGUGGCCAGGCACUGGAAUUUUUAAAAGCUCCCCAGGUGAUUCUGAAGAGCAGACAUGGAUCAGGAAGACUGUUGGGGGAAAAAAAUGAAAUAAUCAGAUGACAUUUUGCCAUUUAAAGCUAUAAAAGUUAGACCUACAUAAAGAGUUCAUAUCCCAUUUUUACUACCAUCACAUCAAUCAUCCAAAUCAUCAUAGAAGAUAUGAAUAAUACAAUGUUUGAACUAGAAGGAACCCAAAAGAUCAUUUAGUCCAUAGAUUUUCCAACCAGGGGUUCUUGGGUUUCUGGAAGUCCUUCAGGUAGUGUGUCAACCUCUCAAAAUUGCAGCUAUGUAUAUUUUUUUUUUGAGAAGAGUGUCCAUAGAUUCCAUCAGCUUCUAAAAGGAGGAGUUGGCCCCCAAAAGUUAAGAACCAUUUAUGUAGUCUAAAUCCCUCAAUUUGCAGACAAUGAAACUGAAGACCAACAUGAAAACAGCAAAGAAUAUAUUCCUCACCACUCCCUCUAAGACAUCUCAGAACUAAGCCAUGAUGGCCCAUAUGUUUUUACACAAACUGAUUAAAAUCCCAAACAAACAAAAAAAAGGAGCCCCAAACAGCCCACAUUCUGACUGAGUGAAGAUUUCAACCAGAUAAUUGAAGUAUCCAGAACUGCAGAAAUGGUAAUAUUUUUGAAGACUUUCUUAGACUUCACAGAGUAGAGUUCCACCAAAUGGGGCCCCUGGCUAGGACCAUUCCCCUCAAGGAUUUCUCUGAUUAAAUAUGAAAUCAGGAAGUGAGCAAAUGUUAGCCAAGCCCAGGCAGAGAUCAUGUAGUGCUCCCAAUGUAGUGUUGUAACCUCAGUUCAAUUUCUCCACAGUUUGUAUCAUGUUUGACUUAUACCACCAUUCCAUAACCUUAGUAAAGCGCGGUUCCUAUAUAUACUCAUCAACGAUGGCCUCAUUGUGAGUCCACAGCCAUUCAUGAGAAAAAGAUUCUCUAAGAGAGGUUACUGGUAUGUCUACAUAUCACUCACAUAACACAUUACAACUCUACGUGGCAAAAACUAGAGGCUUUUUCUGCAACCAAGACCCAACUCUAGACAGAGUCACCAUAGAAGGUAGAACUUUAUAAGACAUGUUUUGUCUUUAAGUUGUUGCUGAGACUAUUGGGAAUUAUUCUAAUAUCUAAUUUUCUUCAACUUUCUAAUUCUGGCAUAUGCUAGCAGAAUAUUUUUGGAGUUCCCUCUGGGAAGAUACACAUAAUAUUAAAACUAUUCUUCAUUCAGUGUCAAUAUACAGAGAAAUCUAUCCAGUUAAACAGGUAUAAGUUAGUAAGUUUGAAGGUUGGAGUCAAACCUGUGCCUACCUAACUCCCACAGAUAUUUUGAUAUAGUUAUGACUAGGAUAGAGUACAAUGAGCAUGGGUUUCAGGAUCACACUUAUGUUUAAAUCUCAGUCCUGCUCUUUAUUAGCUAUGUGACCCUAGGCAAAGUACUGAGUCUCUGAGACUCAAUUUUACUUCUGUAAAAUAGAAUUAAUUGCCCCUCCAUCAGAGGGUUGAUAUUAGGUGGAGGCACUACCUAACACAGUGCCUUGAAUAUUAAAGAUACUCAGAUGUGAUUCACCUUCUGCCAGUACCUUCUAAAGCUCAUGUUCUUUCCACCAAGCCAAGUGACUUUUCAGAAAUAUUCCUAUCCCUCUUCCUCACCUCAGCAUCAAUGAAAACUGAGGGGUUUUUUUUCAUCCCUAAAUCUUGGCAGCCUCACUUAAAUGGUCUUUGAUUUCUUGAUUGUCUUUUAGAUAGACUUUACAUUUAUUCACUGAAGCUUUUCAAAUAUAAAGCAGAAAACAUUGCAUUAAUGAACAAAAGAUGUUGAAUACUAUUAUUCCCCUGUGCUUUGUAUUCUUACUCCAGUUGCGAUAAUAGAGUAAAAGCUAAUACCAGGAAUUGAAAAAAGGAAAGGAGAAAAGAAAAAAAGAGCCAAGUCGAAGGGGAAAAGUAGGAGAAAUUUAGGAGAGGAGGAGGCAUUCUGGCACCUAGUCAUUCAUAAUUCUGGACUGAGAUUUAUUUACAAAAUGGUACCCAGUUUAUUCACUCAUUCACUAAAUAUUCUCUGAAGAAAGCAAGUGUUUAAUGGAAGACUAAAGGAUCAGAAGAUGUCAAUCCAUGAAGCAAAGGUAGGAAAAGGUUCUAUGAAAAUGGGAUAACAUCAUAGGGUUGAGAUUUGCUCAAGGGGCAUUAAAGAAAUUAAUGUCUACCAGAUAGUAUUUUGGAGUCCUAAGAGAUACAGCAGUAAAAGGACCUCAGUGUCAUGACCAUGUCAUGUAGCCCUUGGACAUUCUCUAAGCUUAGUAAGCAAAUCUAGUGACAUAGGAAGAAAUAAUAAUAGAAAUAAAAUAUUUCAGAAGUUCCCUAAGAACCUAAAGAAAAUCUAAAAGAAAAACACCUAAAAGAGGCCCAUUUUAGGUUUUCCUCUGCUUUUUCACAUAUAGUCAUUUCCCAAUAAUUUGCAAAAUGCUUUAGAAUUUUAAACAAACAUCAGACUAUACAUAAAAAGAAGAAACAAGCCUAUGUUUCAGAUUGGUGAUUUCAGGCUUGAUGUAUAAUUACUGCUCAGCAUUCAACUGUUAAAGUCACUUGGAUGUAUUUCUCUCAUCUUUUAAUUUAUCCACCAUUUUUAAGGCAGCAGCCUCAAAACUGUUUGCCAGGGCACACAGGAAUUUUUUUUCUAAUUUUACAUUGUUCCACUUGGCAAAAAAAAGAAACUGAUUAUCAACUACAUUGUCCAUAGUUCUUAAAAACUGGUCAUACAUUCCCAGGGAUUCCCAACCUUGAAUUUCCUACGUGAGUACUUCUCCAGGCUGGAGACAUGGCUGUCAGACCUCAGAAUACUGUCAGUGCCCGGAAUACCGUUCAGAGCUCAUUUAAAUUCAUAUGAUAAGACUUCACACGGAUGAUUUUGUGUUUGCAAAGAAAGAGGGACGAAAAGUCAUUUUCCUCUCCACCUCAAGCUUAGGGUUAGCCACCAAGGGAAACUACCCCUCCUCAGUUUCCCCCUGAAACUCUAUGUAAACAGCUUGAAGCCAAGGGAAAUCAACUAACCUUAGCUAGUAAGAUCAAGGGUUAUGUCCCUCCUCUGGGACAGCUCUGGUUCUGAUCCAACACAGAGGGAAAGGUCCAAUGUUAUUAUGUGCAUGCCUACUUCUUCCUUGUAGGUAGCAAAAAUCAGAGGAACAGGAACAACAACAACAACAACAACAACAACUAGAUAAAUAAAUAAAUAAAUAAUAAAUUAAUAAAUAAAUAAAUAAAUAAAUAAAUAAAUAAAUAAAUAAACGAGCCAAAAACAAAGCUAAAUACGAAGGAAAGGGAGCUAGCUCGAAGAAGGGAGAAUAAGAGAUGAAAAUCGCAUGCUAAUAGAAACGGAGCGGAUGGAUGGUUGAGAUAGAAAUAAUGAUGCCUCCAGCAGUGUCAAGCACUGCUUUUUUCUCCUCCUGAAACUACCACAGGCACCUUUACAAAAGUUGCUAUCUCUUUCCAAAGUUGGAUAUAAUUUAUCUUAAAGGCAUCUUACUGGUUAAUACAUCUUUACAAUAAACCCUCUACAAAGUGUAAAGAACUGAAGAAAUAAAUUGAAGUGGCUUUUAGUGGUGGCUGGGGGUACCAGAUUGACAGCUUUGGAAAUAGAUGGCUUCUUUUCCUCCGAAGACUAGAUACAGGCUGAUAAGCAGAAGUGUGAGACUUCCCCAACUGCUUCCCCACUGUGCCUUCACCCUGACAAAGUAAUGCUGGCUUCGUGAAAGAAAGGACAAGUCACCUUACCCAGGCAGUUCUCUGCUGACACUACUCAAGAACUGCCAUUUAGCACCAAGGCGUUAGGAGCAUUUUCCUCACUACCAGCAAAACAGAGGCACCACUCUUAUUUCACUUAGAACAGUGAACAGUCAAAUCAGAUAGUAAUGACUUUUGACUACCCUCAACUCCACUGGAUUCAAAGCGCUGAACUUAAAAGUGAAAACUAACUUGAGUUUCCCAUUACAAUUUUCCACAGCCAUCUAGUCCUCUAACAGUCCCCAGCACUAAAUCAGGUAAUGCAGUAUAGUGUAGCUAUUUUAUCUGGUUCUCCCAAAGAUAUUUGAAAUGAGUACUCCGCCAUCCAUGAAAUCAAAUGAAUCUCGGGGACAUUUCUAUUUAUGCAGUGUGAGGAGGAUCUUUCAACAGAGAAAGGAAAAGCAUAAAAAAGGAUGGAAUGCUUCCAAGAGAACAAGUAAUGUACAUUUUCCUUUCUGAAAGAAAAGCAGCAAAUACGUAUGAAAAAUUGAGGGGCAUGAGUUAAAGUGGAGUCUUAACAUCAUUUAUUUAUAUACUGAACAUAAGAACCACUAAAGUCAUCUUCAUCACAUAACCUUAAAAUGAGCAGAGACCAAUUUAACACGACUAUCAGAUUACAGUCAGUAGAAGUUAGAAAACAUACGCUUUGUUUAUCUUACACUUUCCUAAACAAUCAUGCACAGCUUUUCUUUGUUCCAGGAGUCAUUCAAGCAUAUAAUAAAGAGUUCCAGCAAGUUGGAACCUCUUGUAUCUGGUUAUUUUCAGGGAGUUGUAAACUUGCUGCCGCCAAGUCAGUAGUUUUCUUAUGUUGUCAGCAAGGAUUUUGAAAAAUGCCAUCAUCCCAAUUCUUGUUAGCAAAGAGCUUCUCUAUGUUCAGUCCUUUCCAUUAACCCUCAUUAACACUUUGCUCGCUCUUUUAAAAUAAUUUGAAACAUCUCUGCUGCUUUCAAGGUAGAAAGCUCUCGUGUUGCAGUGAUCGGUCCUCACUUACUGUUCCCUCAGCUGUUACAUCUUUCUCACCCUGGCUUUUUGCUCCUGUAUCUCAGAGCAAAUCCCCUACCUUCAGCCUUAUGGGUCCUCAACUGGUUUUCCCAUACAUUUCAAAUUUUGUCUUGUCUUUGCUCAUCUAUUAGUUCAUUCAUUCCUUCCUUCAUAGAACAGACAUUUAUGUAAUAUCUCUUUGUGUCUUCACUUGUCCCAUAUACAUGUUGGAUCGAAUUCAAGAUAAAAUAUUAUGCAGUUGUAAAGGCACUAGAAUAGAAAUGCUGGAUCCCUUGUGUCAACUCUGUCAUCCAUCAAGUAUGUGAUCUUGAAAGACUCACUUUCCCUAUAUACACCUCUCUUAAUAGGGCUAUGUCAUAUCUAAAAUCACUUACAGCUCUGAAAUUCUACAAUAUCAUUGUAACCUCAGGAAUUCAGUGCAAACAGAUAAAUCCACACCACGAUAUUAGUAGCUCUGAGAUACCAGUUUCAAGAUACUUACAUUUUCAGUGGUUGAAUACAGGGGCCCUCCUAAAGGAAAGUAAGGAAAUUCUGACUUUCAUACAUUGGGCAUUAAUGAGCAAGCGGAGGAGUACUUGAGUCCAAAGUGCUCAGGUUCCAUUUAGACUAGUCUUGACUAUUAGGCUAUUUGCUGCCUGCACGUCAUCUCCUGCCAUUCUCCCUUUACCCACUCCAAGCAGGCCUUCACCUCCACACGUCCAACGACUGCCCUCAUGAAUGUUACCAAAUGACUUCCACAGAGUUUGGUCCACUAGUCAACUGUUACUUCUCAUCUUACUUUACUCCUCAUCAGCAUUUGACAUAUUUUAUCAUUCCCUCCUUAAUACACUUUAUUAUUUGGGCCUCUAUGACUCACCCACCUCUCUCCCUAACUCACUGGUUACUCCUCAUUUUUCUUUGCUGGUUUCUCUUCUGUACCUCAAGCCCCUAAUGUUGGAGUGCUCUCAGCACUGACUUAUUGGUCUUAUAUUUUGUGUGCACUCACUCCCUUGGUGAUCUUAUCCAAUCCCUUGAUUUUAAAUUCUAUAUAUAUGCCAAAAAAACCCACAAAUUUAUAUCUUUACCCAAGACCUCUUUCCUGAACUCCAGAUUGAUAUAUCCAGAUGGCUAACAGGCUUUUAAAAAGAGAAUUCCUGAUGUUCUUGCCCAAACCUAAUCCAGACAGUCCAGUUGAUGCAAGCUCCAUCUUUCCAGAUGCUCUGUCAAAAAAAAGUCUUCGGGGGCAUUUUAGUCCCUUUCUUUCUUUCAUACCCUACAUCUAAUCCAUUAGGAUAUUGACUCUAGUUUUAAAAAUGUAUCAGAAUGGAAUUACUUCUUACCUCUCUCUCCUAGAGCUGCAAUAGCUUCUUAACAGGCUUUCCAGCUUCUAUACUUGCCCCUCAGAACCUUCUCUCAACACAGAAGUCAGAGUGGUCUUUGAAACACUAUUUCAAGCACUCCAUUGGAUCACCAACGUUUUCACAAUGGCCUACUGGUGCUACAUCAUAGAGGCCUUCCAUAACCCCUCUGAUUUCACCUCCUACUACUGCCUCCCUUGCUCACUUUACUGCACUCACAUAGCCCUUCUUGCCUCAAACACAACAGGCAUAGCCUUGGUGUCAGCUCUUCUGCCUCACCCACAUCUGCACAGCAAAUUUCCUCACCUCCUGCAAACCUUUGCUCACUUCAUGCCUUUGCAAUGAACCUUGACCAUCCUACCUUGAUCAGGCACUCCUCAUCUUUCUUAUCUGAAUCUACCUUUCCCUUUUCCAUAGCAUUUAUCACCUUCUCAUGUUCUAUAUAAUUUACUUAUUACAAUUUUUGUUCAUUUUCUGCCCUCCCAUGCCAGAAUGUAAGCCAUGGGAUGGCAGGAAUCCUUUCCUAUUUCUUCAUCGAUGUAUCUCAAGUAUCUUCGGUACCUCGUGUUUUAUAUUCGUUAACAAAUGAUGAAUCAAUAGAUCACUGAGUGAUGGGUGAAUAGAGAAGACUGGUUUUAUAGCUAUCAGAUAAUAGCCAACAUCACACGAAGCUACAUGUGAAAUAAUAAGCUUAAUACAACUUCAUUCUAAUUAUACAAUCAAUGCCCAAUCCUGCUGUCCCUUCUUGAUCAUUUGAUAUCUGCGAUCGAUAGAGAGUCUUUGGAGUUCAUGUCUCCUCACUGUGGAGACCCUUGCCCUUCAUCCACCAGAACUCACAGAAAAAAAUUGUAAUCUUGGGCUGAAGAGACAUGGAGAGUUCUGUACUCAUCCUGGCAGACAUAGAAUAAUGCCUAUAAGAUAGCUACCUUAUACUUCUGCUAUAAAAAGUAUAAAAAAGAAGAGCAGUAAUUAACAGUUAUUGAGACCUAACCCUGUGACAGACAUUAUUCUGAGGUUUCACAAGUAUAAACUCAUUUCUUCCUUGCAAUAACCUCCACCCCCUGACCUCACACUUCUCUCCCCAUUAUUGGAUGUGAUCCAUCUAGACAACAAUCAGAAAGUAACAAAAGUGCAAGUGGGUCAGAAGGGAAGAUACAAAACUGAAGAAACAGACCAUGGCCUUUAACAUUUCUAAAGAAAAAUGUUAUCUCUGUUAAGCACAGCUGCCAUAUCUCCAUGAAGCCAGGUUGAGAAAAUGUUUAUGUUGACACAUUGAAGGUCAAAUAUUCCAGGGUAAUUAGAUUUCUCCAAGGUGAAUUAUGGAGACAUUCUAGUUAGAAGCAGAUACAGAACUUUUGCUGUCCAGCCAUAAAGCAGCACUGACUUGACAAAUACACGUAGGCACAUUUCUAAGCAUUUUUGCUUGUAGCUUAAUCAAUUGUUUUACGUAUCUUCUGUUACUAAUCUUUUACAAAUUUCAUUAGGAUCAUAAAAAUUUACUAACUUACCCAUCCAGAAUUCAGUAUCAUUUCGAGUAGCUUUUUAUUACCCUAUAUUUUCAUCUCCAUAAAUACAAGAAAAAAUGCAAUUUCAACUUCUUUGAAGUCACCCUCUGCCUGCUUUCAAUCAUGUUAACCUUCUCAAAGUUGAAGACCAUCACUUGCCCAGAUAUUUUCAUCAACUCAUUCAGCAUACAUUUAUUGAGUUGCAAUUACAGUGCUAAGCCCAAAGAAGCAUAAUCCACAGUCCCUCAAUCAGAGAAUUCAGCGUCUAAUAGUAAAGGAGAAACAAAUACAUUGAAAUAGCUUCCUGUAAGAACCUCAAUGUCCAUAAAAAGAGAAUUAGAUAAAGGAGACAUUUAUUCCCAUGAAAUUGAAUACUACAAUUUAAAUGAAUAAAUUAGAUUUAAAUGCAUCAAUAUGGCUACUUUUUAAAAUAUAUUGAGUGAAAAAAGCAAAUUUUCAAAAGAUGUAUGCAAUAAUUGCACUAUGUUCUCUACAACAACAAAAAAGAUUAUAAUAUGACAUUAUGUAUUGCUUACAAAUAUACAAUGUGUAACAAAAAUUAAAACCACAGAUUGAGAGGUUAGGUGCCAAAAUCAGAUUAGUGGUUACUUCUGGAGAGAAAGAAGAUGAAUGGGAUUGGAAAAUGUGUAAUGUGAAAUUCAACUUGAUUGGUAAGGUGCUAUUUCUUUAUUUAAAGAAAAAUAUUUGAAGCCAGGAAUUUUAAAUGGUAAAUUUUGUUAAUCUGGGGUGGUAGGAUAUAUGGCAUUUUUCUAUAUUUUAAUGGUUUUUCCCCCUAACGUCUUCCAAAUGUAUAAAUGAGAGAGAGGAGAGUGAGGACAGGUGUCGCACUGAAAACACCACUCACAAUAAAUGGGAAGUGCCAAAGCUACAGAGAAUGUAUCAGAGAUAAAAGCAGAUGUCCAGAGCUGCAGUAGGAAGAGCUGUGAGGUUAAAAUGGGGAGGAACCAGUGGAUGGGAGCGUUCCUAGAAACCUUCCUAAAAAUGCAGAUGAAGUCAGGCGUGAAGAAUGACCAAAAGUCAUACACGUUGAGAUGAGCAAGAAGGAUAUUCCAAACAGGAAUGGCAGAAGGAAGGACAAAUCUGCAGAAGAGUAUGGAGCAUUCAGCAGAGACAGAGCCUCAGGAGACAGUCUCAAGUUUGAUACUUACCUCUGCUACUUAUUAGCUUAGUGACCUUGGGAAAGUCACUUAAACUCUCCAAAACUGACUCUUCAGCUUGGACAUGGGAUAAUAAUAUCUUCCUGGUUGCAUGAUUGCACAGGCCAGAGAAAAUAUAUUCCAAGAUGCCUGACAUAUAGUGAUACAGUAAUGCACACAAAUGAAGAUUAUGAUUAAUGAUUAUUAAAUGGGACUAACACUCUGGUCUCCUGAUUCCUGAGUCAGUGAUCUUUUCAUAACACUGCAUUGCUGAUUUUGUAAUUUAGCAUUAUCUUAUAUUCAUGUGGCCAAACUUUCACAGUAAUAAAGCAAGUGACCUCGAUGGAGUCCUGGACAACUCACUGAAUCUUAAUUAUAAAAUAUGCCUCUUUAAAACAGUAUGGAAGUUCCUCAAAAAAUUAAAAAUAGAACUACCAUAUGAUCCCGGAAUUCCACUUCUGGGUAUUUAUCCAAAGAAACCAAAAUCACUAACUCAGAAAGAUACAUGCACCUUAAUGUGCACUGCAGCAUUAUUUACAAUAACCAAGACAUAGAAACAACCUAAGUGUCCAUCAAUGGAUAAGUAGAUAAAGAAACUGUGGUAUAUAUAUAUAGUUGACCCUUAAACAACACAGGUUUGAACUGAUCAGGCCCACUUAUAUGCAGAUUUUUUUCAAUAAAUACAGUACAGAACUGUAAAUGUAUUUUCUCUUCCUUAUGAUUUCCUUCAUAACAUUUUCUUUUCUGUAACUCACUUUAGUGUAAGAAUACAGUGUGUAAUAAUUUAACAUACAAAACAUGUGUUAAUUGACUAUUUAUGUUAUCAGUAAGGCUUCCAGUCAACAGUAGGCUAUUAGUGGUUAAAUUUUUAAGAAAUUAAAAGUUAUACAUGAAUUUUUAACUGCAUCGGGGGGGGGCAGUGCCCCUAACCCCCACAUUGUUCAAUGGUCAACUAUCCAUAGUAGAAUAUUAUUCAGCCAUACAAAAUAACGAAAUCUUCCCACUGCAACACAGAUGGACCUUGAAGUCAUUAAGCUAAGCAAAGUAAGUCAAAGAAAGACAAAUACCAUAUAAUCUCACUCAUAUGUAGAAUCUAAAAGAACAACAAUAACAAAAGAAAACAAAAAACCGAUCUUGUAGAUACAGAGAAAACAUGGUUGGUUUUCUCUGGUGGUUGCCAGAGGCAGGAGUGUGGUGUGGAGGGUGGCCAAAAUUGGUGAGGGGAGUCAAAAGGUACAGACUUCUGGUAGUAAAAUAAAUAAAUCUCAUACAGCAUGGUGACUCCAGAUUAAUAAUACUGUUUUGCAUAUUUGAAGGCUACUAAGAAAGUAAAUCUUAAAAGUUCUCAUCACAAGAAAAAAUUCUGUAACUGUGUAAGGUUACAGAUGUUAACUAGACUUAUUGUGGUGAUCAUUUUGCAAUAUAUACAAAUACUGGAUAAUUAUAUUGUACACCUGAGACUAAUAUAAUGUUGUAUGUCAGUUAUAUUAAAAAAUAUCUCUUUUUGGUGUGCAAAGCAGCUCCAGACUCUGCCUCUCACUCCACAUUGUUGGUGGUUUUCUAAAACAUUUCUAAUUCUUUUGUCUGUCCUAUAUAUGACCCUGAAACAGUCAAAGGCGGAACUUUUGGUCAAUUGGCUUCCCAGUUGUUGAGUCAGCUGCUGGCUAAAAUUUGGAAUGCCCAAUUUGUCUCAGCCAGGAUUUAAAAUAGGAAGCUACACGUUUAAUGCCUUUAUGUGCCUGGUCUUCAAUAUUUACAAAAAAAAAACCAAACAAGUGCAUAGGACUUUGGUCACAUUGCUGUUAUUGAUAAAGCAUUCACAGAUUUCUUCAAUAGAUUCUAAUAUAUUUUUCAUUUUAUUUAGGUUGUUAUGCUUGUUUAGGUUGAAAGAAAGUUUAAAAAGCAUUAAAAACGACAACAACAACUUCAUAAGACUUACAUGAUGCUGGGUUAUGUGAAUGGUAUAUGUUACUCUGAAAGUCCCCAGGCCUCUUUUAUCAUAGUCAGUAUCAGUUAAAGGGAGGCUCCAUCCACAUGAUUCCCAAGCACACCUCAUUCCAAAGCAGAUCAAUGGUACCUUGCCACUCUCCUAAGCCAGCUGCAGCAUGAGCUCAGCCCAAAUUUGGGCAAUUGAAUUAUUUUUCUCAGUGAGGUUUUAGCAACCAUUAUUACUAUCCCAGGAAGUUGUCCUUUCUUGGAGAUAAACUGUCAUGACAAACUCUGUUUUCUAUUUAGCACAUAUUUCCAAAUUCCAUUGCUCUGCAUGGAAGAGAAGAAGCAUAUGUUGCUUCUCAACACCACUCACUUCAAACGACUGAGAAACUCAGGGUUGUUUAGGCCACAGGAGCAAUGGACAUACACCAUCCAGAAAUCUCCUAUUGUCUGACAAAAAUGCCACAAGCUUGCAUUGAUAACAUGCUAUUUUUGUUCACCAUUAACCCAUUACCGCUGCCAGCAGCCCUUUAAAAAAAAUCAGAGCUCUCAAAAAGACUCAACCAUCUCCAUACCUUUUCUUUCAUCUCCCAAAGAACAAAGAAACAAUUCUGUGAUUUUAUCAGGGUUAGUUAACGAUAUUAAUUAAAGGCACUAACUGUAUCACAUUGUGUUUGGUUGCAGUAGUGCUGUCACAGAGGGGAUUUAAAAUGUUCCAAAAAUGACAUCUCAGCCCUUGAGAAAAAACCCCACACAAAACCACAGCCAAGAUUGGUUCUAGUGGUUGACAUUUGGAUCUAUGUUCGAGACAAGGAAGCCAGAAAGAAAAUAGGCCAAGAAUCAGCAAUCCUUUUAAUCCAAUGUCCUUUCAAAGUAAUGGGGAGCAAAAUAUGCCACCCUACAAAGUGCCUCUUUAGCACAGGAUUACUUUGAACUGAAGGCAACUAAGAAGAAACACUUCUCUGCUGCCCCCCCCAUUGUCCUAAAAGCAGGAUACAGAUUUGUAAAGGGGUCCACUCUUCCCUCUACCAGGAAGGACAGACAUUACUGAAGAUAAUUCUGGACACUUUUCAGCCCCGAGGGGGCACCAGAGGAAUCUAGAUAAUAAACUCCAUUAACUAGAACUUAUCUGCCAUUAGUUUCCCCAUAUAUUAACCUUACCACAAUUUGCCACCCUAGAAAUUCAAAGUCUUUUUCCUUAGUCUUGUCCCUUCACUAAAAAUGUAUAGCAUAUUGUUCUUUUCUUAGGCGCUAAAUGCCCAAGUUCUAACCACCCCUUUGAGUUAUUCAUUACUGAGUACUCCCAUGUGUACAUAAGACGCACUUGGUAAUAAACCCGUUUGUUUUUUACCUGUUAAUCUGUCUUCUGUCAGUCUAAUUUGCAAGGCACCAACCAAUGCACCUAAGAUGGGUAGAGGGAAAGAGAGUUACAGUAAAACCUUGGAUUGCAAGUAACUUGUUCUGUGAGUGUUCUGCAAGAUAAGCAAACAUUUUAUUUUUAUUUUUUUUAAUGUUUACUUUUGUUUUUGAGACAGAGAGAGACAGAGAGAGACAGAGCAUGAGCAGGGGAGAGGCAGAGAGAGAGGGAGACACAGAAUCUGAAGCAGGCUCCAGGCUCUGAGCUCUCAGCACAGAACCCCGCUCAGGGCUUGAACUCGUCAACUGCACGAUCAUGAUCUGAGCCGAAGUAGGACGCUCAACCAACUGAGUCACCCAGGUGCCCUGAUGAGCAAACAUUUCUAACAAAUUUUAACUUGAUAAAGGAGCGAUGUCUUGCAAUACGAGGAGUACCUGAUGCCAAAUGUCACAUGAUCACAACUGAGCCAAUGGCUCUUAAAGUUCGCUUUGAUAUACAAGUGCUUUGGAUUGACAAGCAUGUUUCCAGAACAAAUUAUGCUUGCCAACCAAGGUUUUAUGGUGUUUUCCUCCCCUACAAGAGCAUACUAGAGGACAGGAUGGGGCUGAUAAACUGCCUUUUUCUAUCUUCUCUAAAGAGAUUACCCAUCUCUGAGAUUAUUGGUCUAGUGUCUUCUAUGAUCAUAAAACCUCCCAGUAAUUGUGGGUAAGGGAUAAAUGAAGAUAGGAAAAGCCAUGAUUUUCUUUCCAUUUCUAAUUUUGGAAACUUCUGAAAUUAAAGGAAAAUUUUCUCUUUUUUGAAAGAAGCAGAGGCCAGUAGGCACAGUACAUCUGAUGAUGUUUUAAAGGUAACGUUUUGGAGUUCAUCCCCAUGGAUGGGCUAGGCAACAGCAGAGAAAUCUAUGGAACUUCGAUUAGCCAUCACAGUUUUUCAUUUUAUUUUUUGAUUAACUUUUCUCAUGCAUAGCUGAAAAACACUAAACAGAAUGAAAGGCAAGUUUUGUAAUUAGACUAGAUUGCCCAGGGCGAGAGAAAAAGAGACACAAGCAAAUCCUGUAAUUCAGCUCCUAAGUAACAUCCUCCACAUGAUAGAGUUCCUUCAUACAUUUUUUAAUCAGGUUUUAAAGUUUUGCAUGUAUACACUGAAAUGUUUCUUUUGGGAAAAUGUAUUUGUUUGCAUCAAGGCUUUCAUUUUCUCUUAAAUACAACUUUGCCCCCGUACUUUAUAACAUAUAGUACAUAAAGGUAUGUGGAGGCAGAAAGGAAAGGAAAAAUAUCAUGAGAGACAAAUACAUGAUGAAGCUUACAUAAGUGACUAUAGCUCUUUCAAAAACACUAUUCACUUGGAGAUAAAAUUGGGAUGUGGACCAAAUCAUACCCUCUGGGAUAGCAAAUAAAAAACUAAGUGUAGUAUCCUUAUUAUGUGGAAAACUGCAGAACUCCUCAUAUAGAAAAAUAUCUGAUUUAAGAUAAAAUACACUUUCAUUCGACAAAAUCUUCCAUGUUAUCUUUAUGGCCAAAACAGAAAACUGUGGAUGAUGUGAUAGAAUAGUUGAAGGAGUGUACCCAAAACAGUAUUGAUGGUUCAAUGUCAUCCUGCAGCAAGGUUUCUCUUUGCCUUGGGACCAAGAGCAUUUUUCAUCAAUAAGUUAUAUAAAAGAAUAAGCCCAGCAUAUUAGUAACAAUUAUACAAACUGAAAGGAUUAGUGAAGAUGGUAAAAUAAGUAUGUUAAGAUUCCAGAAGGACUCGAGAAGUAUAGGCCAGAACUAACAAGAUAUCUUUAGUAAGGAUAAUUCAGGAAGGUAUAAUUCUACACUGGGAUCAAAAACUUGGGUGCAAAUUUAGAAAAUGAUGGAGAACUAGGAGCUAGAGUCUGUAUUAGAAAAAGUCCUAGGGGCACCUGUGUGGCUUAGUCGGUUAAGCAUCUGACUUUGGCUCAGGUCAUGAUCUCGUCAUUCCUGAGUUCAAGCCCCGAGUUGAGCUCUGUGCUGACAGGUCAGAGCCUAGAGCCUGCUUCGGAUUCUCUCUCUCUCUCUCUCUCUCUCUCUCUCUCUCUCUCUCUCUCUUUCUCUCUCUCUGCCCCUCCCCCCCCAAAAAUAAAUAAACAUUAAAAAAUAUUUUUUUUGAAGAAAAAGUCCUGAAUAUGGAAUUAGAGAACACCAGUGAUUUAAAUCAAUUUAACUUGCUUAUUUCCAUCUAUUUUCUCAUGUAAAAACUGGGUAUAACAGUAUCUACCUCUCGGGACUGUUAGGCCAUUUAAAUGAGAUGACAUGUGAGACCAAAUCUUAUAGCAGUUUAUGUGGACUGAGGUCUUAUGAGCCCCCACACAAAGUCAGGAUCAGUUCAAGCAGUAUCAUGCCUCUACCAUGGUUAGCACUAGUCAAACCAGAGAAUAACACUGUGAUAGGGGCCUUGAUUUUAGAGGAAGGGAAGAGAGUUAGAAAGUGUUUAUUGGACAUCCAUUUGUGAGUCUAAUAGCAGGUUCUGGGGAUAUUCAUUAGAAGCCAUGGUCACUAUCCUUAAGGAGCUCUUACUCUAGAAACAAAGGAUGAGAACGUCCAUCUAGAAGUUGGCCAGUGUCUUACCAGCUCUGUAAGCAAAGUCAAUGAGAAACAGUUGUCCAAGUCACCUACUCCAUCUAACCCAGUGUUUGUAUCUACACAAUAAACAUUUUUUGAAAAAUGAGUGAUAUAAGUUUUGCUUGGAAAGAAGAUAAAGGGAGAACAAGAAAACUCUCUUUAAUAUUUUGCAAUUCUAAUUUCAGAGGGAAGAGAUCUAUAUUUGUAGCUCUAGAGAGCAGAACUGAGGCAAAAGGGUGAGAGGACAGGAGGCAGAUCUGAGUUUUCUACAGAAAAACUUUACACUAAUGAGAGCUGCUGAAACAGAGAGGACUCGCCUAAGAACU